rnacentral:lncRNA from 1 species
ACUCGUCCCAGCUAUAUUCUCAUUUCCUGAAGAGAACAGUGAAAGAAAGGGUGAGCUCAACUAGCCCAGUAAGAAAUAUUAUGACUAAGAUAAUGCAGAAUAAUUUAUCGUUAGCCUUCAACAGUGUUAAACUGAUAAACUAUAACAACCAUCAAGUUUAACAGUAGCGGAACAAGCAAUCCAUUAGAAGAGUCAAGUAGAGAAUAAAAUCUACUAUCUUCUAUGAUUUAAAAGGUUUUUCAUCACUUUUAUUGCUGAGACUCGGCUUAAUAAAUAAACCACAUCAUCCCUGAACUAUGGCCAAAGAUAUUCAUUAGUAUCACGACCACAACUUAUCCAUGCACUACGGGCCAAGGAUAUUCGUGUAUUCAUCAAUGGUCAUGAUCAUGCCAACAACUGUCCAUCAAUGCACUACGGGCCAAGGAUAUUCGUGUAUUCAUCAAUGGUCAUGAUCAUGCCAACAACUGUCCAUCAAUGUACUACGCCCAAUGAAGACUUUUACCACAUCAUUUAUAACAUUACGGUCAUGAUUAUACCGAAUAAUCCCUUGUCAUAAUCAUACAAAGUCCAUCUAUGCACUACAGGCCACAGAUGACUUUCAACAUAUUAUAAACAUGAGGAUGAUGACAAUGAUAUAAGAAUUCAAUAAAACAAGUUCAAGGAUAAAUUUUUAAAGAUUUAUAAUUUAAUUUAUCCAGAAAUAAAUAAUGUCCAAAUUGUCAACAUGUUACUGUUUUGUGGAGUAAAAUUCAAGAAUGCUCAGAAGAAUAUUUUUAUGAAAAGAUACUAGAUGAAGCACAAAUAUCAAGGAUAUUCCAAUAAUUUCAUGGAGUAUAGAAGCCAAAACUUUAACCAACUGAGUAUAAUAGAAUAUAUGAAACCGCAAAUGGAUUUUUGCCCGCAAUGCGGUAAUCCACGUAGAUAGAUCAUUUCCACGAUUUAAUAAGGAAUGAAUACGAAGGAUCAUUCACCAUGCAUGCGGUAAUUCACAUAGACAGGUUAUUCCAACAGAAUAAUAAAGAAUGGAAUAACAGAAGAAUUCACCAGGCGUGCGUAAUCCACACAUACAAUUUAUUCCAAAAGAUUAAUAAAGAAUGUAACCAGGUCAUGCGUAACCCGCACAGACAGGAUAUUCCAACAUAAUAAUAAAGAAUAGAACCAGGUCAUGCGUAAUCCGCACAGACAGGAUAUUCCAACAGAAUAAUAAAGAAUGGAGUAAUAGAAGAAUUCACCAGGCAUGCGAUAGACCGCACAUACAGGUUACUCCAACAAAAUAAUAAAGAAUGGAAUAACAAUCCUUACGAGUAUUGAAAGAAAAUAACUCUCUUCAUGAAUACGAAAUAAAUAAUACCCCUUACUUUAGAAGAAACUAGAUACUAGAAUAGUGAAGUAGCAGACUUCUCUUCUUCGUUCUCUCUAUAAUUUCUCUCUAUAAUAAUUGCUCUUGUGAGACUUAGUGAAUUAGUAAGAAUGAAAGAAGAAUAAGCUUCUAUUUAUAGGAAAAUAUAGUUUCGAUAAUUGCACGUUUUGGGGUUCGAAAUAUUACAGUAUAAUACCUUCCUCUUUUUCUUCAUUUUUAAUUUAGUCGUGCAAGUAUUAUCAAACUUGCACCACCUCCCCUAAUAAUAAAUAAUGUGAAUCAAUAGUACACAUAUGUGAACAAAUAGUUAUAAGCAUGUAAAAUAAUAGCAAUUAAUUACUCAUUUAUUUGAUUAAUUACCCGAUUGGUUAAUAUAACCUCCAAACAUCAAUUAUUAUCGAAAUAAAUGUCGAUUUCCAAUAACACUAAUAAUCUCAACAUAAUGGAACUAUUAAUUUCAUCUUUAAUCAACACGGACUUAUUCAUCAUUAAUAUUAUAACUCACAAUAUUUAACAACCAGGUCAUUCCCAGGAAAGAGGGGGCUUUUCGAUAAGGAUUUCUCCUUAUUGGCGCGCAAUUAGGUGACCAAACCUCUCCUUGACAGAACUUCUAGACAUUGUCAAUAUUGCAAAUAAUAAUAUGAAUAACUUUGUCGUCUCAAUUAUUGAUUUCAUAAUAUUAAUUAUUAUGCAUAUGAUACUAUGACAAUAAUUGAUCAAUAAUAUGAGAGAUAUGAUAUAGUAAUUACUAUAGCAGUAAUUGAGUAUAACUGAGUGACUUCUCACGUAAGCAUCAAUAAUCAAUACCGUGUGCUACUAUGCGACCACGUGUAUUACUGUACUUUUACUACCGGGUAGUUCAACAAUUUAACGGUAAAACUUUCGCCGUUAUUUUUAUAAAAAGAUAAUUCUUUCAUUUUCUAACUACGACUAUACUUCCGUUGUGGGGUCCACCAAUGAUUGUGCCGUCGUACGAAUAUUCUCUGUUAAAACGAAUAAUCCCCGACCAAUCGAAUAUUAUAUAACCACUUGCUUACUUUGCAAAAUUUGUAAAUAUUACCCACAACUAUAACAUUAUAUCAAAUCCACACCGUAAUAUUCAAAAAUAUAUUUCAAAAAAAUUAUUCAUUAUUCAUAAAAGUUGGGGUCUUACAAUAUCUCUCAUGUUAUUGAUUCAAUUAUUGUCAUAGUAUCAUAUGUAUAAUAUUUAUUAUUAUUAAAUCAAUAAUUGAGACGACAAAGUUAUUUAUAUUAUUAUUUGCAUUAUUGACAAUGUCUAGAAGUUCUGUCAAGGAGAGGUUUGGUCACCUAAUUGCGCGCCGAUAAGGAAAAAUCCUUAUCGGAAAGCCCUCUCUUUCCUGGGAACGACCUGGUUGUUAAAUAUUGUGAGCUAUAAUAUUGAUGAUGAAUAAGUUCGUGUUGAUUAAAGAUGAAAUUGAUAGUCCCAUUGUGUGGGAAUUAUUAGUGUUAGUAGAAAUAGACAUUUAUUUCGAUAAAUGAGCAAUUGAUUGCUAUUAAUUCACAUGCUUAUAACUAUGUGUUCAUAUGUGUGUACUAUUGAUUCACAUGAUUUACUAUUAGGGUGUUGGUGCAAGAUUGAUAAUACUUGCAUGACUAAAUUAAAAAUAGAGGUAUAGAUGAAGGUACUAUACUAUAAUUGUUUUUUUUCACAUAAUUAGAACUAUUGAGUCACAUAAUUUACUAUUGAUUCACAUGAUUUACUAUUAGGGGAGGUGGUGCAAGUUUGAUAAUACUUGCAUGACUAAAUUAAAAAUGAAGAAAAAGAGGAAGGUAUUAUACUGUAAUAUUUUGAGCCCCAAAACGUGCAAUUAUCGAAACUAUAUUUUUCUAUAAAUAGAAGCUCAUUCUUCCUUCAUUUCUCACCAAUUCACUAAAGCUAUAGAGCAAUUAUUAUAGAGAGAAAUUAUAGUGAGAAAGAAGAAGAGAAGUAUGCUACCUCACUAUUCCAUUAUCCAGUUUCUUCUAAGAUAAGAGGUAUUAUUUCUUUCGUAUUCAUGAAGAGAGCUAUUUCUUUCAAUAUUCAUAAGGGUUGUUAUACCAUUCUUUAUUAUUUUGUUGGAAUAACCUGUCUGUGCGGUCUAUCGUAUGCCUGGUGAAUUCUUUUGUUAUUCCAGUCUUUAUUAUUCUGUUGGAAUAACCUGUCUGUGCGGUCUAUCGCAUGCCUGGUGAAUUCUUCUGUUAUUUCAUUCUUUAUUAUUCUGUUGGAAUAACCUGUCUAUGCGGGCUACCGCAUGUAUGGUGAAUUCUUAUGUUAUUCCAUUCUUUAUUAUUCUGUUGGAAUAACCUGUCUAUGUGGACUACCGCAUGCAUGGUGAAUGAUCCUUCGUAUUAAUUCCUUAUUAAAUUAUGGAAAUGAUCUGUCUACGUGGAUUACCGCAUGGCGGGCAAAAAUCUAUUUGCAGUUUCAUAUAUUCUAUUAUACUCAGUUGGUUAAAGUUUUAGCUUCUAUACUCCAUGAAAUUAGUAGAAUAUCCUGGAUAUUUGCGCUUCAUCCAGUAUCUUUUCAUGGAAAUAUUCUUCUGAGCAUUCUUGAAUUUUACUCCACAAAGAAGUAUCAUGUUGACAAUUUGGAUGUUAUUGAUUUAUGGAUAAACUAAAUUAUAAAUCUUUAAAAUUUAUCCUUGAACUUGUUUUAUUGAAUUAUUAUGGCAUUGUCAUCAUCCUCGUGCUUAUAUUGUGAUGAAAGUCAUCUUUGACUUACGUGCAUAGAUGGACUUCGUAUGAUUAUGACAAGGGAUUAUUCGGUAUAAUCAUGACCGUAAUGUAACGAAUGAUGUGGAAAAAGUCCUCAUUGGCCUGUAGUUCAUUGAUGGACAGUUGUUGGUAUGAUUAUGACCAGGGAUUAUUCGGUAUAAUCAUGACAAUUGAUGAAUACACGAAUAUCCUUGGCCCGUAGUGCAUGGAAAAUUUGUGGUCGUGAUACUAAAGAAUACCAUUGGCCGUAUUGCAGGGGUGAUUCGAUGAUGUGGAUUAUUUAUUAAGCUGAGUCUCAACGAUAAAAGUGAUGAAAAACUUUUUAAAUCAUAGAAGAUAGUAGAUUUUAUGCUCUACUUGACUCUUCUAGUGGAUAUCUUAUUCCGCUGUAGUUGUUGAUCUAAAACUUGUUGUCUAUUAUAUUCUAUCAGUUUUAUACUGUUGAAGGCUAAGGAUUAGUUAUUCUAAAUUAUCUUAGUCAUAAUAUUUCUUACUGGGCUAGUUAAGCUCACCCUUUCUUUCACUGUUCUCUUCAGGAAAUGAGAAUAUAGCUGGGACGAGUCGGGGAACGGAUUGACGGUCCAGAUGGUUGUUUUUGUAGUCCUCGCUAUUCUAUAAAAUAGUGUGAUAAUAAAUGUAAUGAGGACACCAUUAAGUGUGGAUAUUGUCUAGAUGACAAUAUUCUUAUUAAAACUCUUAGAUUAUGUUAUGUUGUAUUUUACACGACUGUUGUAUAAUUAAGUUGUAUUUGAAUUUUGUACCAUGUAUUUGGUGACUCAAGAUGGGUGAUGUAUACCUGUUUUGUUGGCGUCACGCUUGUGGUCGUAUAUUCGAUCGUUGCGCGCGUGUAAGUAUUAUGCAUAAUAUAGCGUACAAGGAGUUGGCCGCUCUAAGUACAUGCUGAGGGGUAUAAUUUAAUCCAUAUGGUUAUCUAAUACAUCUGGGUAUAUCAAAGUCAAAUCUUUGAUAGUUACUCGAGAAGAGAAGUUCAAGAUCCAAUUGAUCGCUCAACAUAAAUCUAGAAAACAUUCCACUUUGUUAUUGCGUAGAAUUGAUUCUUGAUUAUUCAAUAGAAUAUCUUAGAAACUUUGAAAGCGUUGUACUCUUUCAUUAUCAGAUUAUUGGUUUUCAUAAUAUGCGAGAAGACUUGUUAAUGAUUAACGAAUUGUUCAGCUAUUUCAAAGUUCCCCGAACUUUAGUGACAUUCUAUCAAAAUAGAUAGUCUGUUAUUCUUGAUUCUUAUACAUUCAUUAUAUGUCUUAACUUGCGGGGCAAAUUUGUUGCUCACCGUUGUUAAAUAAAAUAUUUCAGCUACGAACGAAGAGGCCAGGGGGGCUAAGAAGAACAAAGGCAAAGGCAUAGUGCUGGAGUAGUUGUAAUGAAUAUUAUUAUGUUGUUGUUUUGUAAUCCCUAUUUGUAUAUCUAAGGGGUAUGUUUGUAAAUUUAUGGUUAGAUAACAUGGGACAUUGUAUUAACAAUAUCAGUUAAUGAAAUGUGUAUUUCUAUUCAUAAAUAAAUGGGUAGUUAGAUGUUAUUUAUAUUAUAGAUCGUGAGUGUGAUCCCUUUGCAGGGUAAAUCCCUUUGCAGGGUUGUUCAUCUCAGUUUGACAUUCGAGUCCGCACCAAAGGAAGUUUGGUUUGGAUAAUUCAAUAAGGGUUCUGAAAUUUAGAACGUUCAUCAACUAAGGACUAGUUGAAUCAAUAAAGUUCACUAGUCUAAUAAGGUUCAACAAUAAUGAUAUUCAAUUUGAAUAAUAAUCUCAAGAAGUAUACAAUAGGACAAUUAUUGUAUAACUGAAUCAUGCUUUGAAAAGAUAAUCAAUCUUUAAUAUAACAUUUGAACUUGAAUAAUAGUAAUGAUAAUUUACUCGAGGUAACUAAUAAACUUGAACAAUAAUGACAAGUAGAGUUAUGAAACUUGCCUCGUGCGUAGAUUACACUUUAACUAAGCACGUUCUUUGAAUUUAAUCGUACAUACCAUUCACAUUCACAAUACCAGUUAAUUAUAACUUAACUAAUCAUCAUAAACUCAUUCUUUUGUCUAAUUCGAAUAUUGACUAUACUUAGUCAAAUUACCACUUUGUCACAUAAUUUACACAUCAUGAAUUACAAGCUAGUUAUGUAUUCAAUAAUUCAAUCCACAUGUAAUUAUGUUAUUUACAUGCUAAAUAUCUAUUUUAACAUCUCAUUAUACUUAUAACAUAAUUUUAUGUUCAUUAUAUUAAGUUAUUAACACAUUGCUAGACUUAAUCAUUUUACAAAAAUUUCAUUUCUAAACUUUCUAGAGUGUAGCGCUGCGGCGUCACUGUUACACUUGGUCCUCACGCUGCGGCACCGUGGCGCUACAGCUGGAAACUUGGUGAUGCGGCGCGGAUGUUUAGGCAUGAGACUGGCGCCGCGGCGCGGCGAACCAGAAACUGUUCUGCAAUUCGCGAAAAUUGCAGAACACAGCCAAAAACUCCAAUUUAAAAUAUUACUACACGAAUUUAGACAUACCCACAUGAUAUAAUUUAUACAUAAUCAUUACCCAACAUUUAUAUAAAUGGUUUUAACCCAUUAAAACUCAUAAUCACAGAACUAAAAUAUGUGAAUUUCACUGACUUUUAUGUUCUUGAAGGUUUUGAAAAUAAUUCAUGAAAAUUGACACUACGGAUUCGUUAUAACACCGAAUCCGUUCAUUUAAACUUUGCUCUCUUCAUAUCAACAUGCAUAAUAAAAUAAGAGUGUAAAUUUUAUGAAAACAUUUAUGUUUGACAUACUAAAAUCACGUAUAAGGCCAUAUGGCCAUAACGCAAACUCUAUAAUUUUGCAGCAAUCAUAUACGACAUGUUUUCAUGAAUUUGAUGAUAUGGGUUACAUAAUAUAUAUAAUUAAAUAUGAUGUGAUAUGUCAUAACACAUACACAACCCAUAAUCAUUACUCCCAUCCCAAUUACAGAGGUUUAAACUAAAUUCUUUGAAACCCAUAUUCAUGAAACUUAACAACGUAAAAUAGAAAUUAGGAAAGAGGAGAUUACCCUAUAGAGUACAAAUUAGAAGAUGAUCAAUGAUGAUCCUUUCACAAGUAUUUGAUUGAUUUUACACUCACAAUCUUUUCUCAAUCUCAAAUUUCUCUCUGUGAACUCUAGAUUAUGCUCUACUUGUUUUCUAGACUUAGGAAUGAUAUGAAAUAAAAGAAGACGUCGUAUACAAAUGAACUGACGCGUUGAGGUCAGUAACCCAUCAUGGGUAACUGCUCUCAACUCCCUCUAAGGCCAUGUUUGGCUAGUAAAAGUAGAUUACAAAACUAUUUAAUUUAAUAAAGCUUUAUCAUACAGUUUAAAUAAUGUCACGCCCAUACACAAUAACUUAAUUAUAUUAUUUAAUUUAAUAUAAAAUAAAUAUAAUAAUUUCUCAUAAAUUCACAUAGUCACAUAAUUAAUUUUCUCAUCAAUUAAUUAUAUCAAAUUAUUAAAUCUCUAAUUAAUAAUUAAAUUAAUUAAAAUAACAUCAUGCUUAAAUAAAUAUUUCAUUUAAUUCAAUAAGCUCACAUAAUUAUAUAUUUGAAUAAUAAUUAUUCUCUACAUUUAUUUAAUAAAUGUAACACAUAUAAUUAAAUUAAUCUACUACAAUUGCAUCAAUUAAUUAUUAAAUCUAAUAAUUAAAUCAUCGAAGAAUAUUUAUUUAAUUCAAUAAAUAUUAAAAUUAAUUACAAAAAUCUCGUUCGUCACAUCUUUCCACCCUUAAAAGGAUUUUGUCCCCAGAAUCACGACUCAAUAAAUUCGACCNNNNNNNNNNNNNNNNNNNNNNNNNNNNNNNNNNNNNNNNNNNNNNNNNNNNNNNNNNNNNNNNNNNNNNNNNNNNNNNNNNNNNNNNNNNNNNNNNNNNNNNNNNNNNNNNNNNNNNNNNNNNNNNNNNNNNNNNNNNNNNNNNNNNNNNNNNNNNNNNNNNNNNNNNNNNNNNNNNNNNNNNNNNNNNNNNNNNNNNNNNNNNNNNNNNNNNNNNNNNNNNNNNNNNNNNNNNNNNNNNNNNNNNNNNNNNNNNNNNNNNNNNNNNNNNNNNNNNNNNNNNNNNNNNNNNNNNNNNNNNNNNNNNNNNNNNNNNNNNNNNNNNNNNNNNUGUCCCCGGAAUCGCUUACACAUAAAUUAAGUAAAUAAAUGAGGGUAAUUCUUCACCAUAUUCUCUUCGAGUUCCCACGUAGCUUCUUUAGCGUUGUGGUUCAUCCAAAUUACCUUAACAGAAGGUAUUACUUUAUUUAUGAGAACUUGUUCUUUUCUGUCGAUAAUUUGAACAUGAAUUUCUUCGUAAGAUAAGUCUUUUUUUUCUAAAUGUAGGGGUUCGUAUUCAAUUACAUGCUUGUAAUCGGCUUUGUAGGGUCGUAACACAGAAACAUGGAAGACGUUGUGGACAUUCUCGAGUGAUGGAGGUAAGGCUACCUCAUACACAACUUCGCUGAUUCUUCUCAAUACUUCAAAUGGUCCAAUGAAUCUUGGGCUUAAUUUCCCUUUCUUUCCGAACCUGAUCUUCCCCUUCCAGGGAGAGACCUUCAAGAAAACAUAGCUACCUGAUUCAAAUUCAAUAUUUUUACGAUGUGGAUCAGCGUAUUUCUUCUGUCGAUCUUGAGUUGCUACCAGUCGUGCUUGGAUCACUUUGACUAUUUCUGCUGUCUGCUAUACCAAUUCUGGCCCUAACAAUUGUCUUUCGCCAACUUCAUCUCAAUAAAGUGGAGUUCGGCACUUUCUGAUGUAUAACGCUUCGUAAGGCGGCAUGCCUAUACUAGCGUGCUAACUAUUGUUGUAGCCGAACUCACUAACGGUAGGUGAUCAUCCCAAUUAUACAAGCUCUUAACAUAUCUUUCAAUGUUUGAAUCGUUCUUUCGCUCUGUCCGUCUGUUUGAGGGUGGUAAGCUGUACUCAUUCGCAAUUGUGUACCCAUGCAUUCUUGUAGACGUUUCCAGAAAUUCGAUGUGAAGCGCGGAUCCCUAUCUGAAUUAAUUGACACCGGCACACCGUGUCUCAAAACAACCUCUUUUACAUAUAACCUCGCCAACUGAUCUAAAUUGAAUCUAAUUUUGAUUGGAAGGAAGUGUGCGGAUUUCGUCAGUCAGUCAACGAUAACCCAUACUGCGUCGUAGCCUUUCUGAGUCGUCGGAAGGCCAACCACAUAGUCUAUUGUAAUAUGUUCCCAUUUCCAUUCUAGGAUCUCUAACGGUUGUAGCAAUCCACUUGGACUGUGAUGUUCUGCUUUUACUUUCUGACAAGUAAGACACUUGGCAACAGAUCCUGCAACAUCUCGUUUUAAAUUUGGCCACCAAAAAAUGUUGUCAAAGAGCUUGGUACAUUUUGGUACAACCAGGGUGAAUCGAAUAUCGUGAACUAUGAUCCUCGCUCAAAAUUUCUUCCUUAAUCUCUUGUACUGACGAAACCCAAAUUCUACUUUCAAAUCUCAGUAUUCCUUCCUCAUCCAUCUUAAUUCUCGGUUCAGUUCCUUCAGUUAUCUUCUUUGUCACCUUUUUGCAUUCAUCGUCCUGAAGUUGAGCCUCUUUAAUAUUAUCUAGUAGGGUUGUACCAGAUUGCAUCUGAAAUAAUUUCUCAUCAAUCUGCAUAGGAUACUUCACUUCUAACUCCAGUUUCUCUAUUUCUGAAAUUAGCUCCUCCUGAGCAGUCAACCUCAUCAACUUGUCACGACCCUUUCCACUUAAGGCGUUGGCAACCACGUUUGCUUUACCUGGAUGGUAUUAAAUCUCACAGUCGUAAUCCUUAAUUAAUUCCAACCAUCUUCUUUGACGCAUAUUCAAAUCCUUCUGCGUGAAAAUAUAUUUCAGACUCUUAUGGUCCGUAUAUAUUUCACACUUCUCUCCGUAGAGAUAGUAUCUCCAAAUUUUCAAAGCAAAAACAACUGCAGCUAACUCCAAGUCGUGGGUCGGAUUCCCUUCUCGUAAUCCUUCAAUUGUCGUGAUGCAUACGCAAUGACUUUGUUGUUUCGCAUCAACACACAGCCAAGUCCUCUAUUCGACGCAUCACUAAAAAUGACAAAAUUUCCUUUAUCGUCCGGAAGAGAUAACACAGGUGCCGUACUCAACCUCUUCUUCAAUUCUUGAAAACAUUCCUCACACUUAUCUGUCCAAACAAAUUUCACAUCUCUUCUAGUUAAAUUCAUUAACGGAGUUGCGAUCUUGGAAAAGUCUUGUAUGAACCUUCUAUAAUAUCCCGCCAAUCCAAGAAAACUUCUUACUUCUGACGACGUUCUCGACUGAUCCUAGUUAAUCAUGGCUUCAAAUUUAGAUGGAUCUACCAAAAUUCUGUUUUUAUCGAUCACGUGACCAAGAAAUUGUACUCGUUCAAUCCAAAAUUCGCAUUUUGAAAACUUGGCAUACAACUUUUCCCUUUUCAAUACUUCCAAUGUUAAUCUCAAAUGCUCUUAAUGUUCUUCCUUGGUUUUUGAAUAAACCAAAAUGUCAUCAAUAAAUACCACUACGAACUUGUCCAAAAACGGCUUAAAAAACCAUUCAUUAGUCCCAUAAAUGCGGUAGGAGCAUUCGUAAGACAAAAUGACAUUACUAAAAAUUCGUAGUGUCCAUAUCGCGUUCUGAACGCUGUCUUCGGUACAUCCUCUGGCCUCACCUUCAGUUGAUGAUAACCGCUUCUCAAGUCUAUCUUGGAAAAGUAUCUCGCUCCAUUCAAUUGAAUAAAUAGGUCGUCAAUCCUCGGUAAUGGAUAUCUGUUCUUAAUCGUGACCUUAUUCAGUUCUCUGUAGUCAAUGCAGAGCCGCAUCGAUCCAUCCUUCUUUUUCACAAACAACAUCGACGCUCCCCACGGCGAUACGCUCAGCUGAAUGUACUUCUUGUCCAACAAUUCUUGUAGUUAUACCAUUAGUUCUUUCAUCUCUACUGGUGCCAUUCGGUAUGGUGCCUUCGAUAUUGGAGCAGUUCCGGGCGCCAAAUCGAUCACAAAGUCUACCUCUCUAUCUGGUGGAAGUCCUAGAAAAUCGUCUGGAAAUACUUCGACGAAGUCCCUCACAAUCGGUAUUUCUUCUACCUUCAGAUUCUCUUUUCGACUGUCGACUAUGUAAGCUAAGUAUCCUACACAACCUUGUCUUAACAACUUCCUGGCCUGCAUCAUCGUCACACAACUCGCUUAUCUAGGCGACUUGCUACCAUAAAACACAACCUUUGACGGGGUUAUAAGGUUAAUACGCUUCUUUUGGCAAUCAAUUACAGCCCCGUAAUUGAAUAAACAGUCCAUUCCCAAAAUAAUGUCAAAUUCCCCAAGUCGAAUAGGGAUAAGAUCUACGUUCAUGAUAUUACCCUUAAUAUCCACUCUACAGUUCUUAUGUACGUACUUAACAGGGAUUAUUUCUCUAUUCGCUAUUUCUAUGUUCAUGGGGUAAUCCAAUUCAUUCUUAGGCAAAUCUAAAUUCUUGGCAAAGUCAUCGGAUAUAAAGGAACAAGUAGCACCCGAAUCAAAUAAAACAUAAGCAUUAAUUUUAUUGAUCGGAAUGAUACUUGACACCACAUCACGAGAUUGAACUGCAUCCUGCACCGUCAUGUUGAAAGUCCUGGCAGUCGGUCGAUUUGUUGCGGUUGGUCCGGUGAUAGUUAAGGCAUUUCCACUAUUGUUUCCCCGAUUUCCUCCUGAUCCUGACCCUCCCGAUCCCUUCUUAGGACAAUCUCUUGCCAGAUGGUCUUUUGAACCACAAGUAAAGCAAGCACCCUUCUUUGGGUUAGGACAGUUAGGUGCUAUGUGGCCUUCCUGAUAACAAUUGUAGCACACUCUUUUUCCUUUCAUACAAACUCCCAGAUGGGCUUUCCCGCAGGUCGGGCAUGCUUCGAUUCUUUUCUUCUAACUACCUUGCUGAUUCCCCGAUGAUGAGUUGUCAUUCCACCUCUUCUUCUAAUUAAAAUUUCCACCUCCUGUGCCACUUCCACUAGCCUUAUUAUUUACUUGACCUUCAUUCUUCUUCUUCUUCUGAUCUUGAUUGUACUUGGUCACCGCAUCGCUUCCACCUUCAGCGAGGAUGGCCUUUUCCAAUACUCCAGCAAAUGUGUUUAUCUGAAACAUUGAUAUUUUGCCGUACACCCAAGGUUUUAGUCCUUGCUCAAACCGUCUCGCCUUCCUCUCAUCCGUGUGAACUUGAUACGGGGCGAACCUCGCUAACUCGUUGAAUUUUGCCACAUAAUCAGGUACGCUCAUUUUUCCCUGCUUUAAUUCCAGAAAUUGAACCUCCAUCUGGUUCUGCGAGCUAGUUGGGAAGUACAUCUCGAAAAACAUUUCUUUAAAUCUCUCCCAAGGAAUUACACCUUCACCUCCACGAACUUUGUUUGCUUGCCACCAAUAGCUAGCUUCAGACUUUAGCAUAAACGUUGCAAAAGAGGUCUUCUGGUCUUCUCUAACCCUUGCAAUGUCAAAAACCUUCUCCAUUUCCAUAACCCACAUUUGAGCCUCGAUCGGGUUCAUGGAACCUUUAAAUUCUGGCGGUCCCACCGCCUUGAAAUCUUUAAACGUAGUAUUUGGUGGAGCUUGAGGUUGAUUAUUCAUUGCUCCAGUCAGUAAGUUAACCAACUACUGCACGGGAUUAGCAUUGGCAUUAUUGUUGUUAUUUGUUGACUCUUCCUGAGCUGGUUGACAUUGUUGUCUUCUUCGAGGCGGCGUAUUUCUGUUAUGAAUAAUAUAUGCUUAUUAAAUCUCUAUUAAAUUCUCUAAAUAGUUAAGACUUAACUCAACAAUUUAAUAUAAUCAUUUAACACAUCAUCUCAAACAACUUAAUAUAUUUAAUUCAAACUAAAAGUUUUGCAUUAAACGAUAGCAUAACUGCUAUAAACAUCCACCAUCCUUAGAUAAAGAAUCCACAAGAUUUAAAUAUUAAAAUAUUCCUUCAUUCAUAAACAUAUCGGAAUUUACAUAUAAAAACUAACUAAGUCUUUCACAUAAUUAAACAGAUUAUAUCACUGUCUGUCAAGGUGCUGAAUAGCCUUGCCAUGCUCCUCUUCCAUGAUACGAGACAUCAUCCUGCGAUCCAGCAUGUACGAUGGAAGUCCUUCGAAUUGGAUGGGGUACCUCAAAACUCGAUCAUGGGCCUCAUCCAUUGCAUGAUUAAGUGUAGAGUAUGUCUCUCUAAGCUUUUCCUUCUUUGCACGACCAUCCUCUUCUGCGAGAUCAGCACGACGUGACUCUCUUACCCAGCCCUCCUCUGCUAUGGCAAGCCUCUCUGAGCUCUCUUUCAGAUCAUUCUUCAACUUUUCUAUCUCUGCGGUCUUAUCUUUGGUUUGACCUUUCUCAUGGACCAAAUCCCAUUCUACAUUUCCCAGUCGUGAGUGAAAAGUCGAAAUCUCCCUCUCCUUCUGUUCGAGAGUAAUCUGCUGAAUAAUAGCUCGCUCAGUCAGAUCCUGUACCUCAUCUCGUAACUCCACGUUACGAUCAUAUACGUGUCGUACAUCUCAGCAUCGAUGGAAUGCUGUGGAAACUCCUCUUCUUCCUCUUCCUCGUCAAUUCCUCCUCAGGAUCCUCCUCAGGAUCUGUCUCAGGUUCAUUCUCCUGACCAACAACGGUGAUCAAUGGAGAUGACUCCCUCUAUACCAAUUGUUCCCUAACGACAUGAAUGUAACUAAUAAUAGUAAUGAUAAUUUACUCGAGGUAACUAAUAAACUUGAACAAUAAUGACAAGUAGAGUUUGGAAACUUGCCUCGUGCGUAGAUUACACUUUAACUAAGCACGUUCUUUGAAUUUAAUCGUACAUACCAUUCACAUUCACAAUACAAGUUAAUUAUAACUUAACUAAUCAUCAUAAAGUCAUUCUUUUGUCUAAUUUGAAUAUUGACUAUACUUAGUCAAAUUACCACUAUGUCACAUAAUUUACACAUCAUGAAUAACAAGCUAGUUAUGUAUUCAAUAAUUCAAUCCACAUGUAAUUAUGUUAUUUACAUUCUAAGUAUCUAUUUUAACAUCUCAUUAUACUUAUAACAUAAUUUUAUGUUCAUUACAUUAAGUUACUAACACAUUGCUAGACUUAAUCAUUUUACAAAAAUUUCAUUUCUGAACUUUCUAGAGAGUGGCGCUGCAGCGCCACUGUUACACUUGGUCUUCGCACUGCGACGCCGUGGCAUUAUGGUCGGACACAUGGCGUUGCGGCGCGGAUGUUUAGGCAUGAGACUGGCGCCAGCGGCGCGGCGAACCAGAAACUGUUCUGCAAUUCGCGAAAAUUGCAAAACACAGCCAAAAACUCCAAUUUAAAAUAUUUCUACACGAAUUUAGACAUACCCACAUGAUAUAAUUUAUACAUAAUCAUUACCCAAUAUUUAUAGAAUGGUUUUUACCCAUUAAAACACAUAAUCACAGAACUAAAAUAUGGGAAUUUCACUGACUUUGAUGUUCUUGAAGGUUUUGAAAAUAAUUCAUGAAAAUUGACAUUACGGAUUCGUUAUAACACCGAAUCCGUUCAUUUAAACUUUGGUCUCUUCGUAUCAACAUGCAUAAUAAAAUAAGAGGGUAAAUUUUAUGAAAACAUUUAUGUUUAACAUACUAAAAUCACGUAUAAGGCCAUAUGGCCAUAACCCAAACUCUGUAAUUUUGCAGCAAUCAUAUACGACAUGUUUUCAUGAAUUUGAUGAUAUGGUUUACAUAAUAUAUAUAAUUAAAUACGAUGUGAUAUGUCAUAACACAUACACAACCCAUAAUCAUUACUCCCAUCCCAAUUACAGAGGUUUAAACCAAAAACUUUGAAACCCAUAUUCAUGAAACUUAACAACAUAAAAUAGAAAUUAGGAAAGAGGAGAUUACCCUAUAGAGUACAAAUUAGAAGAUGAUCAAUGAUGAUCCUUUCACAAGUAUUUGAUUGAUUUUACACUCACAAUCUUUUCUCAAUCUCAAAUUUCUCUCUGUGAACUCUAGAUUAUGCUCUGCUUGUUUUCUAGACUUAGGAAUGAUAAAAAAUAAAAGAAGACGUCGUAUACAAAUGAACUGACGCGUUGAGGUCAGUUACCAAUGCUCUCAACUCCCUCUAAGGCCAUGUUUGGUUAGUAAGAGUAGAUUACAAAACUAUUUAAUUUAAUAAAGCUUUAUCAUAUACUUUAAAUCAUGUCACACCCAUACCCAAUAACUCAAUUAUAUUAUUUAAUUUAAUAUAAAAUAAAUAUAAUAAGUUCUCAUAAAUUCACAUAGUCACAUAAUUAAUUUUCUCAUCAAUUAAUUAUAUCAAAUUAUUAAAUCUCUAAUUAAUAAUUAAAUUAAUUAAAAUAACAUCAUGAUUAAAUAAAUAUUUCAUUUAAUUCAAUAAGCUCACAUAAUUACAUAUUUGAAUAAUAAUUAUCUCUACAUUAACUUAAUAAAUGUAACAAAUAUAAUUAAAUUAAUCUACCACAAUUACAUCUAUUAAUUAUUAAAUCUAAUAAUUAAAUCAUCAAAAAAUAUUUAUUUAAUUCAAUAAAUAUUAAAAUUAAUUACAAAAAUCUCGUUCGUCACAAUGUCUCGUAGAGAGUAUCCAAACUCAAAUAAAGUCAUUAUUACAAUUAUUAUCACACUAUUUUACUGAAUAGUGAGGACUACUAAUGGAAACGUCUGGACCGUCACUCCGUUCCCCGACUAGUCCCAACUAUAUUCUCAUUUCCUGAAGAGAACAAUGAAAACAAAGGGUGAGCUCAACUAGCCCAGUAAGAAAUAUUAUGACUAAGAUAAUGCAGAAUAAAUUAUCAUUAGCCUUCAACAGUGUUAAACUGAUAAAAAACAAUAAACAUCAAGUUUAACUGCAGCGGAACAAGAAAUCCAUUAGAAGAGUCGAGUAGAGCAUGAUAUCUACUAUCUUCUAUGAUUUAAAAAGUUUAUCAACAAUUUUAUCGCUAAAACUCAGCUUAAUAAAUAGUAUCACAACCACGAAAUAUCCAUGCACUACAGGCCAAGGAUAUUCGUGUUUUCACCAAUGGUCAUGAUCAUACCAGCAACUAUCCAUCAAUGCACAACGGGCCAAUGAGGACUUUUAGCACAUCAUUUAUAACAUUACGGGUCAUGAUUAAACCGAAUGAUCCCUGGUCAUAAUCAUAUCAAUCAACAGUCCAUCUAUGCACGUAAGCCAAAGAUGACUUUCAUCACAAUAUAAGCAUAAGGAUCAUGACAAUGAUAUAAGAAUUCAAUGAAAAAAAGGCAAAUGAUAAUUUUUAAAGAUUUGUAAUUUAAUUUAUCUAGAAUUCAAUAAUGUCCAAAUUGCCAACAUGAUACUGCUUUGUGGAGUAAAAUUCAAGAAUAAUAUUGUAUCAAAAAUGAUUUGGACAGCAAAGAAAUCAAUUUUUGUUAUGAAUAGUACUCUAGGUGAAUAGUACAUGAGUGAAUAGUACUCCAUAAAUACUACUUUAGGAAUAGUACCUCGUGAAUAAUACUUUGUGAAUAGUACUCGUGAAUAGUACUUCGUGAAUAGUACACAUGAAUAGUACUUCAUGAAAAGUCCCGUGAAUAGUACUUUGUAAAUAGUACCCCGUGAAAAGUACUUUGUGAAUAGUACCAUAUAAAUGAAUAGUACUCAUGGACAGUACUCCGGCAUGAAAAGCUUAAAAUUUAAUAAGAAUGUGCAGAAAAUAUCCUUGUGAAAUGAUACUAGAUGAAGCGCAAAUAUAUAGGAUAUUCUACUAAUUUUACGGAGUAUAGAAGCAAUACUUUAACCGAAUGAUGGUAUAAUCAGGAAUACAAGACGAAAUAAUAUUACUCACAUACUACCGAGUAUGGAAGAAAAUAUUAUUUCUUAUGAAUACUGAACAAAAAUAAUAUCCCUUACCUCAGAAGAAGACUGGAUACUGGAAGUGUGAAGUAGCAGACUUCUCUUCUUCUUUCUCUCUAUAGCUUCUCUCUCUAUAAUUGCUCUUGUGAGUCUUAGUGAAUUGGUGAGAAUGAAAAAAGAAUGAUCUUCUAUUUAUAGAAAAAUAUAGUUUCGAUAAUUGUACGUUUUGGGGCUCGAAAUAAUACGGUAUAAUACCUUCAUCUUUUCCUUCAAUUUUAAUUUAGUCCUGCAAGUAUUAUCAAACUUGCACCACCUCCCAUAAUAGUACAAUCAUGUGAAUCAAUAGUAAAAUCAUGUAAAAAAAUUUACAAUAUAGUACAUUCAUCUAUACCUCUAUUUUUAAUUUAGUCAUUCAAGUAUUAUCAAUCUUGCACCACCUCCCCUAAUAGUACAUGCAUGUGAAUCAAUAGUACACACAUGUGAACAAAUAGUUAUAAGCAUUUGAAUUAAUAGCAAUUAAUUGCUCAUUUAUCCGAUUGGUCAAUAUAACCUCCAGACAUCAAUUAUUAUCGAAAUAGAUGUUGAUUUCCACUAACAUUAAUAAUCCCUACAUAAUGGAAAUCUCAAUUUCAUCUUUAAUCAACACGAACUUAUUCAUCAUUAAUAUUAUAACUCACAAUAUUUAACAACCAGAUCAUUCCCAGGAAAAAGAGGGGGCUUUUCGAUAAGGAUUUCUCCCUAUUGGCACGCAAUUAGGUGACCAAACCUCUCAUUGACAAAACAUUCUAGACAUUGUCAAUAUUGUAAAUAAUAAUAUGAAUAACUUUGUCAUCUCAAUUAUUGAUUUAAUAAUAUAAAAUAUUAUGCAGAUGAUACUUUGACAAUAAUUGAAUCAAUAAUAUCAAAGAUAUUAUGCAUCAAUUACUGUAGUAAUAAUUGAGUAUAACUUAGUGACGUCUCACGUAAUCAUCAACAAUCAAUACCGUUUGCCACUAUGCAACCACGCGUAUUACUGUACUUUUACCACCAUGUAGUUCAACAGUUUAACGGUAAAACUUUCGCCGUUAUUUUUAUAAAAAGAAAAUUAUGUCGUUUUCUAACUACGAUAAUACUUUCGUUGUGGGGUCCACCAAUGAUUAUGCCAUCAUACGAAUAUUCUCUGUUAAAACGAAUAUUCUCCGACCAAUCGAAUAUUAUAUAACAACUUGCUUACUUUGCAAAAUUUGUAAAUAAUACCCACAACAAUAACAUUAUAUCAAAUCCACACCAUAAUAUUCAAAAAUAUAUUUCGAGAAAAAUUAAUCUUUAUUUAUAAAAGUUGGGGUCUUACAACCUCCCAUUCUUAUGAAAUUUCGUCCUCAAAAUUAGGGUGCGUACCUGGUAUGUCGAAGAGGUGAGGAUACCUUGACUUCAAUUUAGAUUCUAACUCCCAAGUCAUUUCCUCAACAUCGUGGUUUGUCCACAAAACUUUGACUUGAGGUAUAACCUUAGAGCGUAAAAUAUGAUCCUUCUUAUCCAAAAUUUUAAUAGGUACCUCCUCAUACAUUAAAUCUUCCGCUAUCUCGUUCGGUUCUAAUUCAAUAAUGUGGUUUGGAUCUUUCAAAUAUUUACGUAACAUAGAUAUGUGAAAAACGUUAUGAACACGAGACAUACUUGGUGGUAAGGCGAGUCUGUAGGCCACAGUUCCUAUUCGAUCGAGGAUUAAAAAUGGGCCAAUGAAUCGAGGAUUGAGCUUUACUAUAUUUCCAAAUCUCAUAACUCCUUUCCAUGGAGCAACACAUAACAACACAUUAUCUCCAAUAUUGAAUUCCACGUCCUUUCGAUGAAGAUUAGCAUAACUCUUUUGUCGAUCUUGUGAGGUUUUUAUACGUUGUCGGAUCGUUUGAAUCUUUUCCGUAGUCAUACGUACCAACUCCGGUCCCAACAACGUUGCUUCACCCACUUUAUCCCAAUAUACUAGAGAACGACACUUCUUCAAUACAACGUCUCAAAUGGAGCCAUGCCAAUACUUGCUUGAUAACAGUUAUUAUAAAAAAACUCCACCAAUGGUAAGAACUUGUCCCAACUUACUUUGAAGUCAAGGACAUAGAGUCUUAAUAAAUCUUCAAGAGUUUGAAUAGUCCUCUACGACUGCACGUUCAUUUGAGGAUGAUAUGCCGAACUAAAUCGUAAAUCUGUGCCCAUAGCUUUUUGUAAACUAACCCAAAAUCGUGAAGUGAAUCUUGGGUCUCGAUCAGAAACUAUGGAUACUGGCAUACCAUGCAAUCUUACAAUCUCAUUUUUGUACAUACGAGCAAGACGUUCAAGUGUAUAAGUUUCUCGCAUCUGUAAAAAAUGAGCAGACUUGGUCAAUCUAUCAACAAUAACCCAAAUCACAUCUAUGCCUUGAGAAACCUUGGGAAGACCAGUAACAAAAUCCAUGGUAAUGUGCUCCCACUUCCUUUUAUACUUUAAGUCAGAAUCGUUAGGAACACAAAGUCUGGAGUUAACUCGAAGUAUUCCUUCUUCAUCGAUUCUUGCUUCCGGAAUAACACCUUCUUGUACUUUCUUCCUCAUACGCGUCAGCUCCAGGUCUGUAGCUUGAGCAGCUUUAACUUUAUCGAUUAAAGUCGGUUCUACUCGUAUAUUCGCCAUCAUCACAUGGGUCCCUAGAGUCUUUAACUCUAUCUCCAUCCUUUGUAAGUCAUACAAAAUGGGCCUUUGUGUUGACAAUAAUGCACUCGUACCCGCAUAUGAUCUUCUACUCAAUGCGUCAGCUACUACGUUCACUUUUCCAAUAUGAUAUUGAAUAGUAUGAUCAUAAUCUUUCAACAGUUCGAGCCAACAUCAUUGCCGUAUGUUGAGUUCCUUUUGAGUGAAGAAAUAUUUGAGGCUUUUAUGAUCCGUUUAGAUCUUCACUUUCUCCCCAUACAAGUAAUGCCUCCAAAUUUGAAGUGUAAAAACGACAGCUGCCAACUCUAGAUCAUGAGUAGGAUAAUUCAUCCCAUAUUCUUUGAGCUGUCUUGAGGCAUAGGCUAUGACUUUCUCAUGUUGCAUGAGAACACAUCCUAACCCUUUGCAUGAAGCAUCACUGUAGAUGACAAAUCCCUCCGAGCCAGAUGGUAUUGUCAUAAUAGGUGCUGAAAUAAGGCUCCUCUUGAGUUCGUGAAAACUCUUCUCACAUUCCUUGCUCCAACUGAAUUUUGUAUCUUUCUAAGUUAGUUGAGUUAAUGGAGUAGUGAUUCGAGAAAACCCUUCUAUAAAUCUCUGAUAAUAACCAGCUAAGCCAAGAAAGCUACGUACUUCGGUCACUGACUUAGGUUGCUCCCAGCUUUGAAUUACUUCAAUCUUUGCCGGGUCAACAGAUAUUCCAUGAUUUGAUAUCACGUGCCCAAGGAAUGCUACUUCCUCAAGCCAGAACUCACAUUUCUUCAACUUGGCAUAUAACUUGUUUUCACGAAGCUUUUGGAGUAUCAGCCUCAAGUGUUACUCAUGAUCAUCAUGACAUUUGGAGUAAAUGAGGAUGUCAUCAAUAAAGACGACCAAAAAGUGAUCCAAAUAUUCCUUAAAUACUCGGUUCAUCAUAUCCAUGAAGGCAACAUGAGCAUUAGUCAAUCCAAAAGACAUUACUAAGAAUUCGUAAUGCCCGUACCGAGUUCUGAAAGCAGUCUUUAGAAUGUCAUCAAUUUUAAUCUUCGACUAAUGAUAUCCAGAACGAAGAUCGAUCUUUGAAAAUAAUUUGGCGCCUUGCAACUGGUCAAACAGGUCAUCAAUGCGAGGCAACAAGUACCUAUUUUUGAUGGUGACAUGAUUCAACUCCAGAUAAUCCAUACAAAGUCGUAGACUUCCAUUUUUCUUCUUCACGAAUAGAUCAUGAGCACCCCAAAGAGACGUACUAGGUCGAAUGAAACUGAUGUCUAACAAUUCCUGCAGUUGGGUUUUUAACUCCUGAAGUUCAAUAGGAGUCAUUCGAUAUGGGGCUUUGGAAAUGGGUUUUGGACCGGGUUCAAGGUCGAUACCAAACUCGAUUUCAUGCUCCGGGGGUAGGCCGGGAAGUUGUUCGGGGAAUACGUCAGGAAAUUUAUUAACAAUAGAAAAUAUCAUUUAAAUCUGUGACAUGGGCUAAGAAAGCUUGACAUCCAUUUUUUAAUAAACGGAUAGCUUUAUGGCUUGAUAUGACAGUGAUUGACUUUAGUGGUUUGGUUGUUUGAAUUCGCAUAAUAGGUUGGUUAGGAAUAUGAAAGCUAACAACCUUACGAAAAUAAUUAAUUUUUGCAUGAUGAGUAGUUAACCAAUCAAUCCCUAAAAUAACAUCAAAUGCAAGUAUUUUUAAGGAAAUAAGAUCGACAGGUAUUGUGAGGGUACCGAUUUGAACCAAACAAGACUUAUAAAUAGUGGAUGUAAUGAAGGUUUUUCCCAACGGAGUUUCAAUAGAUAAGUCAAAGUCUAAUUUCUCCAGAGUUAAAUUUAAACGUUGAGCACAAAUAGGAGAAAUAAAAGAAUGGGUAGAACCGGUAUCAAAUAAGGUAUAAACUUCACUAGAGUUUAUGAUUAGCUUGCCCGUGAUCACCUCGUUCGGAUUCCUCGCUUUUUAGGAGGUUACGACAAAUGCUCUCCCUUGAACCAUCGGUUUUGUCUUGUCUGGGACGGCCUUUGAUGCCUCCAUCCUAGCUGGACUUGACUUCGGUGCAUGACAAAAUCGGGCAAGGUGACCUUCUCUUCCACAAUUAUAACACACUUUGGAUUGCUGCGUACUAUUUGGACUGAUAUGUCCCUUCCCUCCGCAUUUGUAACAUACGGUUGGUUGUCGUUCCCCUUCCUUAACAACAGGUGCUAGUGAUGACGUCUUUCCAUACACAAGCAUGGGACCGGCGCAGCUGCGCCAUUUUUUACCUUGGCACCGGCGCAGCUACGCCUGUUCAAACAGACGCAGAGAAGGCUAAUGAACAGUAGCCGACUUUAGCCCAACAAACACAAAUUUCACCCAAUAGACAGUAAUAUCAACACAUAAAAUAAAUAUACAACUAUUAUAAACAUGUUUGCUAACAUUUACACUCACUCAGUACAAUAUAACAACAACUAAAACUAUUUUAAUUUCUCAAAUUCUAUAUUAUCAUAUAAAAACUCAAUUUUUGAUAUUCUUCACAAAAAUUAACACUGUGAUCUCUGCACUUGGCCAAAUUGCUUCGUUCAAAUUAUGUUAUGCUCGUUUCUUAAUGAACUAGCAUAAUCCAGCCUCAAUUCACACUUUCACAUACAAAUUAACCACUGAAAUUGGUACUUUUCACAUAUUUAAGUCUUGUUUGGUCAAAACUAAAUUAAACUACUUUAAUUUUAUUUUCAUAAACAAUUUAGUUUAUAAUUUAUAAUUACAUAUUAUUUAUUUGGAUUUUCAUAUCCAACAUUAAUCAAAUAAAAUAAUUAUACAUACUAUAUUUUAAAUAAAUACUCCACUUAAACAAACAUCACAAAAUUAUAACUUUCUUAAAAUUUAUUUAAUAAUUUAAUAUACCAUCUUAAUUUAUCACAUCACAACAAAAAUAGAACAUCUCAUGUUAUCUUACAAUAUAAUAACUAUAAAUUAAUUUAUAAUAUUAUCUAAUAAUUUUAAUUUAUAAAUAUUUACUAACAAAAAUCACAUAUUCAUUUAUUUUAAGAAAUAUUUUAAAUUACAAAACAACAACUUCAUCAAUAAAAUAUUUAUUUAAUUUAAUAAAAAUUUUAAGUUACAAAUAAAAUCUUGGAUUGUUACAAGUUGGCUUAUGAAAAGUGCUGUAACCAUGUUCUGCAAAACUGGAAUAUGUACGUAACGCGGGCGCUCAGCCCAUUGGCGCGGGCGCGCAGUAAACCAGUAUAAAAUAGGUGCGGUUGCGCCAAUGCCCUGUCUCAGACAGUGAAGUUUGGUAAUUCUGCAGACUUUGGUCGUUCAAUGUAACUUAGCUUAAUGUUAGGUUAAUGUGAGAACCAUUUAAUAAGAAGGUUAAACAAAGUUGUGUUAUGUGGAUUGUAAAUUCAAAGUUGUAAAAAUGAUUUAUAAGUCAUGAACGUGUUGUGUUAUAACUUAGCUUAUACAACGAAGGUUAGUUUAGUGUUGUGAUGUUAACACUUGGGAAUUCUAAAAUGUAAAUGGUAGCAAAAGACUUGUGCUAAAAUAACAAGUUUAGCUAGUAAUGCGUUUUAUAUUGAAAAGUGAAUACUAAUAUGUCUAAUAGAUGUUGUGGUUUUAAUACUGUGUAUAGAUGAACGCGAGUUUUAAUAUUUUAGCUUACGCUCGAGGCAAGUUUUCUAACUCUACAUUUUCGUUGAGUUAGUUCUGUUAUUACAUUGUGUAACCUAUCUUUUUAAAUUGAGCAAGUUUCUUGUAUCUAGUUAUUUACGAUGAUGCAAGUUCCAAAAUCUCAUCUAUUACAUUGAGCAUGUUUUAAUUCUAAAUUAUUAGAAUUCUAAUCAUUGUUACUUACUCUAACUUGUUUAUAGUUAAACAAGUUUCUUUAGUUUAUUCUUUUAUAAUAAAUGUUUCUUGAACCUUAGAUCCUUGUGUUGAAUGGUUCAAUCACUUUGUAUAUCUUAUUACCAUGUGGAGUAAGCAUUGUUUCUAGCUUGCUAUCAACUAAUGUAUGUUCGGUAACUAAAAUUAUAAUUUGACAAGAUUAUAGACCUAGCUUAUUAUUGUUCAAGCCAAGGUUUAUCAUUUCUUUAUUUUGAUCAAUACUUAUGCUCUCUAGUUAUUUCAAGCAUGAGUCUAUAAUAUAGUCAGUUCACCUAUGAUUCUCAAAUGUUCUAAGUUAUGUUGUUAUUGAACAACUAUUGUGUUAUCAAGCAUUGUUGAUUCAACUAGUUCCCUAGUUGAUGAUCGUUAAAAUUUCAAAUUACCCUUGAAAGCUUAUCCAAACCAAACUUUCUUUGGUGCGGACUUGUACUCUAAAUACUGAGAUGAACAACCCUAUUUUUAGGGGUUUACGCUUAGCGUUGAAAUGUUUGUGCACAAUACAUUGUACGAAGGAUUGAUCCCCCUAAGUACGUGGAGUCCUUAUAGUCAUAUGACUGUUAAAGUUAAAGUUGAAAGAUUACUUAUAACUGUGGACAAGGUUCGUGGUCAUUAGACCCUCAGUAGUAUAUUUCAGAAUGUUAAUAGAACAUAUCAUUCAGUUCUAUUGAGCCUAUUAUUUGGCGAAUGUUGUAAAGUUUAUUCAUUCUUAUUUCUAGUGAGCUUUGUUUGCUCACUCUUGCUUAUAUAACUAUUACAGCUAAGGAUGAGAAGGUAGAUGUACCUAGCACCAGUAAGGGCAAGGGGAAGAUGAACAAGUUUUGAAGACUUGUAAUAUGUUGACAGUGUUUAUCAGACUUUAAUUUGAUUAUUGUAAUGAACUUAUUUAAAUUCCGCAUUUGAAUGAAUGUAAUUAAAAGUUAGAUAACCUAGGAGAUAAUGUUUUUAUUAAUGUAAUCCUGUAUGGGCAGGUUUUAUUAUUCUUUUUUAUUAUGAUUGUGUAGUUAGAUAUGAAUGUUUUGAUUAAGUGAACACCAAAUCUUGCGGUAAUGAAGUACCGGGAUUUGGGGGUGUCACAAGUUGGUAUCAAAGCUUUAGGUUAUGAACCUUAAGUGGGGAAAAGAAAGUAACCUUUGAAAAGAUAAUGGUAAUUAACUCUUAUCAAGUUUUAAGGAAGAAGUAAUAAAACACUUAUGUACUUAUGUGUUUAUAACUUAUGUGCUCGUGAGUGUCGAGUGGUAAUGAUUAAUAAUUAAAACUUAAAAUUUUGUUGUCAGGAUGACUAAUGUCGGAUAAUCCAGUCAGGUUAGGGAGGAGGGACCUCAGAUGCCUAUAGAGGAGGAGCCUCGCGACUUUCAAGUUAUUUGGGAACAACUACUGCCACGGGAGUCAAUCCCGUUGGUCACAGUAGUUGAAGAUGAGGAUGAUGACGUGGAGACGGAUGAGGAGGAUCCCGUUGAGUUGCCACAGGAGGAUGAGGAUGACGAGGACGAGGUGGAAGAGACUCCACUAACCAUGAUAGUCGGUCGUAUGUACGAUGAAGUCUACAGCCGUAAUGUGGAACUUUAGGAUACAGUCGAGGAAUUACAAGAGAUAGUAGCUGAGAAACAGACUGCAAUGACACAGAAAGACGACGAGAUCCAGGAUCGUGAGAAAUGACUUACUAAUGUCGAGGAGAAGCUAGUACACAUAGAAGGAGAGAAAGAACAGCUGAUCGAGGUGAUCGCAGAACUAAAGAACAAACUGAAGGAAGAAGCUACUGAGAGAGCAAGAGUUGAAGACGCAUACGAGGAAGAUUUUCAACGAACCGGAAUAGCAGCGAGAGACGCACAGGCAAAGAGGAUGAAGAUGGAAGAGAUGGAUAAAGUAUUCAAUACCAUAAUAAAUCGUGUUCAAGAUCGGGUCAUGUGAUAUCCUAUUCAGUUCGAGACGCUACCAUCAUAUGUGUUAGAUCGUAGAACAAUGUUCCGGAUCAUGGAGGAAGAAUGUAGAAGGCUAAGCAGUAUCUUAGUAGAACAUCGUAGUUGUUAUACGAUGAAUAAAAUGUUAAAUAAAUUGUAAAUCCCAAGUGUUAUGUAACCUAUAGGAUAUGAUGAUGAUGUUGUCCUGAAAAUUUUGAAGUUCAAAGUGUUAUGUGAUUAUGUGGCUAUUUCUUUUGUGGAGGCAAGUUAAGUGGAAAUUACUUAAAAGAGUAGAAUAAUAAUCUAAUUAGUGUAUUUUUAUCAGAAAAUGCCUCCCAGACGUCAACCACCAUGACAUAGAACCACUAAAGAAACUAAUAACGACAAUGUUGAUGCUAACCCCAUUCAACAACUAGUGAUGCUACUACCAGGAGCGUUGCUGAAUCAACCACAGAAACAAGGUACAACGUUUAAGGAUUUCAAGGCGGUUGGACCACCUGAAUUUUGUGGGUCCAUAAAUCUAGUCGAGGCACAAACCUGGAUUAUGGAAAUAGAAAAGGUGUUCGAUGUCGCUAGGGUAGGGGAUGAUCAAAAGACUUCUUUUGCAACAUUCAUGUUGAAGGCAGAAGCUAGUUAUUGGUGGCAGGCCAAUAAAACUCGUGAAGGGCAAGGGGUGAUGACCUGUGAUAGGUUUAAGGAGAUAUUCUUCGAGACCUAUUUCCCAGAGAGUUCAAAGAGUCAUCUAGAAGAACAAUUUUUGGAACUGAAGCAGGGAACGAUGAUGGUAUCUAAGUAUACCACUAAAUUCAAUGAGUUAGUGAGGUUUGCGCCAUAUCAAGUCAGCACGGACGAACGCAAGGCGAAGAGAUUUGAACAGGGACUGAAGCCCUAGUUGUACAUUAGGGUUUCCCUAUUCCAGUUAAAGGCUUUCGUAGUAGUGAUGGAAAAAGCAAUAAUCGCUGAAGGUGGAGGCGAGGCAGUGACAAAGUUCAAUCAGGAACAGAAGAAAAAGAAGAAGAAUGAGGUGGAGAUUAAGAAUGGAGGUGGUAGUGGUGGAAACAACAACAACAACAACAACUUGAAGAGGAAGUGGAAUAGAAGCGUGGGUACUGGAAACCAACAGGGUAACCAACAAAACAUGAAGUUUGAAGCAUGUGUUAUAUGCGGGAAGUUUCAUAAGGGUGCGUGCUUGAUGGGGAAACAAGUAUGCUUCAAUUAUGGCCAAGAGGGUCACAUCGCCCCAAAUUGCAUUCAACCUAAGAAGAAUGUGUGCUUCACGUGCGGAUCCAAGGAUCACUUUGCUCGUGAAUGCCCUAAGAAGAAGGCUGGAGAGAUAAACAGAAGCAAUGGAGGUACAUGGGCCAUUGUUGGACCUACAACAUCAAACAAACCCACAGCUAGAACCUUCAACAUGACUGUACAAAAUGUUGUGCAAUCAAAAGAUGUGGUGUCAGGUAUUAUCCCAAUCAAUGUUAUAAAUGCUUAUGUAUUAUUUGAUUCGGGUGCUACUUGCUCGUUUAUAUCUUAUGAAUUUGCUAAGAGGUUAGGAUUGCCUAGUGAAGAACUGAAUUUUCCUUUGAACAUAGAAAUUGCGAAUAAGGAAGUAAUACAUGUUAGAUUUGUAUACAAGAACUGUAGGGUGAACAUUAAGGAGAAUAUCUUGACGGUAGAUUUGAUUCCGAUUAGACUUGGAGAGUUUGAUGUUAUUUUUGGAAUGGAUUGGCUAUUCAAAUAUGGAGCGAUAAUUGAUUGCAAAAAGAAGUGUUUAAACCUUAUGACCCCAUCAAAGGUAGUAUUCUAUGGUAGCAAGUCGCCUAGACAAAUGAAAUAUCUGACGAUUAUGCAGGCCAAGAAAUUGUUGAGUCAAGGUUGUGUGGGCUAUUUAGCUUACAUAGUCGAUACUCAGAAGAAGAAUGUGAAACUGGAAGAGAUACUAGUGGUGAGGGAAUUUGAGGACGUGUUUCUAGAGGAUUUUCCAGGACUUUCGCCUGAUAGAGAAAUUGAGUUCGUGAUCGACUUAGCGCCGGGAACAUCACCGAUAUCGAAGGCCCCGUACAGAAUGGCUCCAGUAGAAAUGAAGGAACUAAUGGUGCCAUUGCAAGAACUGCUAGAUAAGAAAUAUAUUCAACCGAGCAUAUCACCGUGGGGAGCGCCAAUGUUAUUCGUGAAGAAAAAGGAUGGGUCGAUGCAUCUUUGCAUCGAUUAUAGAGAAUUGAACAAAGUCACUAUUAAAAACAAAUAUCCAUUACCAAGAAUAGAUGACUUGUUUGAUCAGUUGAAGGGUGCUAAAUACUUCUCGAAAAUAGAUUUGAGAAGUGGGUAUCACCAAUUGAAAGUGAGGAAGGAGGAUAUACCUCGAAUGACAUUCAGAACUCGGUAUUGACAUUACGAGUUUCUGGUGAUAUCUUUUGGUUUAACCAAUGCGCCUGCUGCAUUCAUGGAUUUGAUGAAUAGGGUGUUUAAACCAUUCUUAGACAAGUUUGUAGUGGUAUUCAUCGACGACAUUCUGGUGUAUUCCAAAACUCGAGAAGAACACGUGGAACACUUACGUUUGAUAUUGGAAAUACUAAGAAAGGAAAAGUUGUACGCGAAAUUCUCUAAGUGCAAAUUUUUGCUAGAUCGUGUACAAUUUCUUGGGCACAUGAUUGACAAAGAUGGGAUUUCAAUGGAUCCAUCAAAAGUGGAAGCUAUAAUUAAUUGGGAACAACCAAGAACACUGUCGAAGGUAAGGAGUUUCUUGGGACUGGCCGGUUAUUAUAGAAGAUUUAUUCAAGAUUUUUUUAAGAUAGCCACUCCGCUAACAAAUUUGACAAGGAAAUCGGUAAAUUUUGUUUGGACGGAGAAGUGUGAAGAGAGUUUUCAAUAUUUGAAGAAGAAGCUAAGUGUGGCACCUAUGUUGUCAUUACCAGAUAGUACAGGAAACUUUGUGGUGUUUACACUACAAGAAAAAUGCCUAUCAGCGAUCGGAUAUACGGCCGCUGAUAAGAGUAAUAGCGACCAAUAGUGGCGAUCGCCAUUUAAUCUAGUCUCUAUUUAAUAGUAGCGACCGACUGCGGUCACUGAGUGGUCGCUAGCACAAAUUUGCCUCAUAAAAAUUAGCACAAAAUGUUGGCGCCAAGGUUUGUUGCGACCAAUUAAUAACAGCGACCGCAUGUGGUCGCUGAUAAGUCCAUGUCAUUAAAAAUCAGCGAUUGCAUGCCGUCGCUGAUCAAACUUAAUGUUAGCAGUUUCAGUCAUUCGCUUGACAUAGCAGAGGCGAGAAAAAACGAGGGAUCUCAGAGAGAAGAGGGAGAAAGGGGGAGAAGAGAAGAAGGAGAAGAGACUCCGGCCUCCACCGGUCCGCCGCCACCGAUCCGCUACCACUGGUCAGAAAUAGAGAGAAGAGGGAGAAAGAGGGGAGAAGAGAAGUAGAGAAGAAGGAGGUCAUCCGCCGCCGCCACCUGCCACCGGUGACCGUUCACCGGCUUGUGAACUCGACUGAGAAUCAGAUAGGGUUUUAAUUUCAAGCUUGCAUUUUGAUUUUCGUGUUUUUUUAAUUUGACUAUAAUUUCCAUCAAAAUUGGGAAAGGAAAAAAAAUAGGUGCAAGGGUUUUUCUUUUCUUUCUUUCUUUUUACUGAUAAGUUUAGAAUAUAGAACUCAAAUUAAAAAUAAAUCAUUCUACUUGCAAAUUGUAUAUUCUACUGUAAUUUUAGAACAUUAUCAUUUUUAAGAGUAUAUAUGAUACGGUGUUCACUAGUUGUGUUAGGAUUUGUUAUAUAUCUUCUUGAUUAUCUAUUAUGAAAUUAUUUACAUGGUAAUCUUUCUUUAUCUUUUACAACAUGAUGCAGUUUUUCAAUAUAUAAUAGUGUUGGAUUAAAAAAUAAAAAAAAUACCAUAAUGAAGUUUAUGUUUAAAAUAAAUAUGGGAACUACUAACUUAUUUUGAUAUUUAUCUUAAUUAUGGAUUGAGAUUUUAGGAGUUCUAAAGUUGGGAUAACUACCAUUAUUGACUAUAAUUUUGAUUUUUUGUUGUUAGUGAGAAAGUUCAAGUAUUUUUAGUAAAACGUUAGCUAUAUGUAGGAGGUGACCCAUCGUGCAAAACAUGGGAGAGCCAGAAAGAUCAAAUGUAUAGCAUAAAUUAUACUUAUUUGUUUUAAAUUAUAAGAUUAUUAUUUAUUUUUAAAAUUGGUGCAAACAAGUUCAUUCAGUAUUAUAUCAUUUCACAAGUUUAAUAUUCGAAGGUGGAGCUAGCUAGCUUUUGUUAGACAACAAACGAAAUGGAAACAAAUAAAGAAUACUACGUGGGAAUUCAUUGUGUUGACCUUCUAAAUAUUUUCUGAUAGACAUUAAAAACUUUCAACUUCAAUCGUUGCUAAGAUAUGUUAGCUAUAGAGGAUUUUUUGGAAUAGACCAAGUGUUCGUUUAGUAAUUGUUUCUGCUUCUACGUGGGAAUUCAUUGUGUUGACCUUUUUUGCUAACUAACUAUUUUUUGCUUCUAAAAAAAAGGAAGCAAAACCUCUUUUGGCAACAAAAAUGUGAAAACACCAAAAUCUUGUUUCUUCAAUUUUGACACAUGGAGCCAUCUAACUUUAAUUAACUUUAAUUUAAUAAGCUCUAGUAAUGUAUACAUAAAUUACUAGAGCCUAUUAAGUGGCUGUUGGAGCUGAUGGGCUGGGCUUGGGGCCGCGAGGCCACACUAGGCGACUCCAAGCUUAGCCAAGCCUCACGGGGCCAAGCCAAGCUUGGCUGUCGUCAUGGUUACUUAGUUUUCAAUUGUUAUUGUUUUGGUCUUAUUAUAUUGAGAUUUUGUAUAUUUCUCUUGGUUUGUGUCUUGGGUGCCUAGAAAUGACCAUAUAUACAUUUCAUCGUGCAUAUGGCUAGUCCAUAUUAUAGGGGAGACUCUAGCGAAAUUUUUUUGUUGGUCGGGUAGUUGCGAACAUUUAUUAUAUUAACGAGCUCAAGUCAUAUGCUUACUAGCUAGUAUGCUUAAGUCAUAUGCUUAUAAGUAUGACUUAAAUGUUAAUCAUAUGCUUACAAGUAUUCUGAAGUCAUAUGAUUACAAGUAUGCUCAAGUCAUAUGGUUACAAGUAUAUAUGCUCAAGUCAUAUGCUUACAAGUAUGCUUAAAUGUUAAUCACAUGCUUACAAGUAUGCUCAAGUCAUAUGCUUAUAAUCAUGAUAUACAUUAAUAAGCUUAUGUUAUCUAUAGUAGGUACCGUGGAAUCAUGGACCUCUAUUCAAACCGUAGUUGGAUGGCACGACGAAAGUUAAGUGCCCAGAUAGGUGCUACAGCUGAAUUUAGAGCUGGUUGCCAAGUGUUUUUGGAUUAUGCGUAUAGUCACCCGGAAUGUAUGAAUGGUAAGUCGCAGAUACGAUGUCCAUGUUUGAAGUGUAAGAAUGUAAAUUAUAUGGACAGAGACAUGGUAAACUAUCAUUUACUUGUUUUUGGGUUCAUGAAAAAUUACGAAGAAUGCUGGUGGGCACAUGGGCAGAGAAGAGGGGGUGGCAUCACAGAAGUACACAAUUCGGGCAGUAGUACUCAUCGUAUGAAUGAAAUGGUUCAUGAUAUUGCAGGGCCAGAUUUUGAUUAGGAACAAGGCAAAGAGCAACCUAAGAAUUUUGAUGCCAAAGACUUCUUUAAGUUGUUAGACUAGGGUAGCGAGCCAUUGUGGCAUGGUUGCACCAAACACACUACAUUGUCUGCAGUGGCGACAUUACUUAACAUCAAGGCUGAUCAGAACAUGAGCCAUGAGUGUUUUGAGUCACUCUUGAAGGCCAUUAAGAGUAUGUUGCCUGACAGUGAGAAAUUUCCUGGUAACUAUUACUUUUGUAAGAAAAUGGUGAAGAAGUUGGGUCUUGGAUACCAAAAGAUCAAUGCAUGUCCCAACGAUUGCAUGUUAUUUUAUAAGGAAAAUGAAUAGAUGAUAAGGUGCACGUUUUGCAGUCAUGAUCGGUUUAGGCAUAAUAAAGAGGGUGUGAUUAGAAAAAAAAUCAAGUACACCGUUUAAGAUUCUAAGGUAUUUUCCAAUAACACAUCGGCUAAAAAGAUUGUAUAUGUCGUCAAGAACAGCUGAACAUAUGAGUUGGCAUACGAAAUCUCCAGCUAAAGAUGGAGAACUAAAUCAUCCCGCAGAUGGGCAGGCUUGGAAAGAUUUCAACUUAGCACAUCUUGGGUUUGCAUCGGAACCUAGAAAUGUGAGGCUUGGAUUGUCCACCGAUGGUUUCAAUCCGUUUAGCCACUCAGCUGUUCCGUACUCAUGUUGGUCUGUGAUUGUUACUCCGUACAACUUGCCUCCUUGGAUGUGUAUGAAACAACCAUACUUAUUUCUUUCACUCCUGGUUCCUGGUCCUAAAAGUCCUGGAAAGAACUUAGAUGUUUACUUGAGACCUCUUAUAGACGAGUUGAAGGUAUUGUGGGAGGAUGGAGUACAGACUUGGGAUGUUGCAACGAAAACAAAUUUCAACCUUAGGGCAGCGGUUAUGUGGACUAUAAGUGACUUCCCAGCUUGUGGUAUGUUAGCUGGAUGGAGUACACACGGGAAGUUGGCUUGUCCGUAUUGUAUGGAGCAUACAAAGUCGUUUAAUCUAUCAAAAGGUCGAAAGCCUUGUUGGUUUGACUGUCAUCGUCGGUUCUUACCGGUAGAUCACCCGUUUCGAAAAAAUAGAGAACACUUCAGGAAAUGGAAAGUAGACAAUGAUAUGCCUGCACCGCGAUUGUCGAAAACGAAGAUGCGAGAACGUGUGAUGAGAUUGUCGGUUAUCCCAUUUGGUAAGAUUGAUGCCACAAACAUAAUCAAUGGGUUUGGCGAAUCUCAUAUAUGGGUUCGGAGAAGCAUCUUUUGGGAACUACCUUAUUGGUCUACAAAUUUGAUUCGUCAUAAUCUAGAUGUGAUGCAUAUUGAGAAGAAUGUGUUUGACAAUGUGUUUUAACAUUGUGAUGAAUGUUACGGGGAAGAUAAAAGAUAACGAUAAGGCACAUUUGGACAUGAAAGAUAUUUGUAAGCGUCCUGGAUUAGAACUUUAUGAAUCUCCUAAUGGUAAGACUGUCAAAUAGCAUGCAAGGUACACAUUGUCCAAAAAGCAAGUUGAAGAUGUGUGCACAUGGGUUAAGUCUCGGAAACUACCAUAUGGAUAUGCGUCAAACAUUGCAAGGUGUGUUACGGGUGGGAAAUUGCAAGGGAUGAAGAGUCAUGACUGUCAUGUGUUCAUGGAGAGACUCAUGCCUAUAGCAUUUAUGUACUAAACUAUUUAAAGGCAACUUUUGUUUAUUGUCAUUUUAUAUUCAUAUAUACAUGUUUAUAUCACUGUCAUGUUUAUUGUCAUAUAUACAUGUAAUCAAAUAUGACUUAUAAUAACAUCUUGAAAUUUGUAAUAUACAGAUGGCUUCUGAAGCAGCGUAGAAAAAGCGCGGCAUGGGUAGGGGGCCUAAUCAUGUGCCCAAGGCCCCUACUAAUCCGGAUGAUUGGAUACGUAUUCAGAUUCGCCCUCCUCUGAAUAGCACGUACGUCCCACAUAUAUCAUUUAUAUAUAAGCAUUUAAGAUUCCAUUUAUACAAGAUAUAUAUAACUUAGAUGUAAAUUGCUUUAAUAUAUCUAUUUAUCGUUGAUGUAAAUUAUAACUUAGAUGUAAAUUGCUUUAAUAUAUCUACUUAUCGCUGAUGUAAAUUGUUGUAUAUUAUAGUGAUUUUUCAGAUAAUAAGAUUGUCAAGUGCAUAUCACAACUGUGUUUACAGAAUUGGCCUACACCUGUGAUUACGUUGGCGAGCACACCUAUCGCCCACAAGGAUGUUGUUUGGGCUGAAUUUCAGGUAUGUUUUUUUAAUUAUGAUAAAUAAUAUAAUAUUCAAAGGAUAAUUGUUUAGUAAUGUUAUUAUUGUUGUUUUAUUUGCAGAAACGGUAUAGAUGGGAGGACGGGCAGGCUUCAGUGAUACAUACAUUAUUCUGGCAGAAGUGCGCGGUCCGCACCAUAGACAAUUUGAACAAAGAAAGACAAAAAGCCCUUCACAAUGUCGAUAUCGACCAUCUAGGCCAGGGAGAGGAUUAUAUGCAUGAGCAUAGCCCCUGGUGGUGCACCCAGUCCAUAUGGGUUGAGAUGUGUGCCAAAUGGAGAGCUGAAAGUUGGGUGAAAAGACGAAAGACUGCCUCCACCAACAGAUCCUCGGGUGUACCCGAUGGAAAAAAGGCUAAAGGGACAUACAAGGGCGGCAGUAUUUCACAGUUGCAGUAUAUCACUGCCAGGGUACGUAUUUACAAGUUUUAAUAUGUUUACAAUCAUGAAUUCUAGAAAAUAUAUCACAUUUUUACUUAGUAAUAUUGUGCUAUUUUUUGUAUAGGAGUCUUAGUCUCAAGGUACACAUAUCCAUUGGCUGGAUGUGUACGUGGCCACCUGUGAUGGUCUGCCUUAUGCUAUCCAGAUAGCGGUAAUAAGUUUUAACAACUUGAUCUUGUUUAUCAAUGCUUACAGAAUUUAUUUUUAACUAUUUAAUUGUUAACAUGAUGACAGGAUACUUAUAAGCGUUUAUUGAAUGAGCGAUAUCCUGAAGGUACUCCACGUCCGACUAUUGAUCAAGAGCUGUGGGAGAGGGCGUCUGUUGUGAAGAAGAACUACAUUAAAGGUCAAGGACUACGACGACGCCCAUCUUUCAGUGGCUCAGGCAGCUCUGCUACCCAGUCUUCACAGUCAUCGAGUCAUCCAGCUGUUCAUACUCCGGCUGACUAUGUGAGAGCUAUAUGUCGAGAUCGAAAUCUUUUGAAGAUACUGGGUGGGCAUCUGGGGGCUCUUGAUCCUGAGGAGUUAGCUAAAGCAGUAGCGACAAUAGUAGCAGGAUAGCAUGGGGAUGGCGACGAGCUAUAAAAUCAAUUUGUUAUAUAUAUUGUCGUAAUAUAUAUCAGUAUCAACAUAGUUACUAUAUUUGUAACUUGUUUUAUUAUUUUGUUAAUUACAGGUUGAUCAAGGAGGCGAUGAUGGUUGACGUACCUGAUUUAGAUCAGUUUUGUAGUUAUAGUAUAAGCUUGUACUUGUAUAUUCUUCUUUGGAUGUCUGUAUGUUACUUAAACAUUAGAUUUGUGGUUAAUUAUUCAAUUCAUAGCAGUUUUUAAAGGUUUAUAUAUAUAGUUUAUAUACUAGCUAGUUUGGUGGACAAUGGAUGUUUAUAUUGUUGUGCACAUUGUUUAUAUUGUUGUGUAUGUGUGUUGGGAUAUAGCAGGUACAAAACAGGUAUAGUUUUUUGGGAAUUAUGCAAAACAACAAAAAGUUGUUUUUCAUUUUUUUUUAGAACGCUGAUUAUCUAUUAGCGACUGCUAGAAUUUGAGGGUAUCAGUGACCGCCUUCGGUCGCUACUAGCGGUCGCAGACACGUGGACCACGUCAGCCUUUGGCUCAGAGACAUGCUGACUCAGCUUAGCGACCGAUAUGACAAAUUCGGUCGCUAUUCACGGUCGCAGAUAUAUCGAUCGCUAAUAGUGGUCGCUGAUGUGCAUCCUAGCGACCAGAUUUUAUGCGACGACUAUCAGCGACUGCACUCAGUCGCUAAUAUCUAUCUGCGACCAACGGCGGUCGCUGAUAGACCAUUUUCUUGUAGUGUUAAUGAUGCCUCACAUAAAGGGUUGGGUUGUGUUCUUAUGCAGAACGACAAAGUAAUUGUGUAUGCAUCAAGACAACUGAAGGAUUAUGAGAAAGGUUAUUCGACUUAUAAUUUGGAAUUGGGUACAGUAGUAUUUGCUCUGAAGAAAUUGAGACACUAUCUCUGUGGAGAAAAAUGUGAGAUCUAUAAAGACCAUAAAAGUCUGAAGUAUAUUUUCACAAAGAAGGACCUGAAUAUGCGUCAAAGAAGAUUGUUGGAAUUGAUAAAAGAUUUCGAUUGUGAGAUCUUUUAUCACCCGGGCAAAGCGAAUGUGGUUGCAGAUGCUUUGAGCAGGAAAGGUCGGGAGAAGUUGAUGAUGAUAACCACUUAGGAGGAGCUUAUUUCAACAAUGACAAAGCUAUAAUUGGAAAUCAAAUUUCCAAAGGAAUCCAAUGAACGACUAUUCCAGAUAGAUGCUAGUCCAACUUUGAUGGACAAAGUGAAGACUGCUCAACUACAAGAUAAAGAAUGUGAAACGAUCAAAGAGAAAGUGGUUGAGGGUAAUGAUGUAAAAUACAAGAUCAAUACCGAAUGACUACUACGGUUCGAGGAAAGAAUUUAGGUUCCAGCAGUACUAGAGCUUAAAGACGAAAUCUUGACCGAAGCACACAACACAAGAUAUUCGAUUCAUCCAGGAAGUACGAAAAUGUAUCAAGAUUUGUGACGAUAUUUUUGGUGGCCAAAUAUGAAAAGAGACGUUGCAGAGUACGUUGCGAAAUGCUUGACAUGUCAGAGAGUCAAGGCCGAGCAUCAAAGACCAAGAGAAUUACUUCAACCGUUAGAAAUACCGGAAUGGAAGUGGGAACACAUCACAAUGGAUUUUGUGGUGGGUCUUCCAACUACUCAGAAAGGAUGCAAUGCGAUUUGGGUGAUAGUAGACAGACUGACAAAAUCAGCACACUUUUUGCCAAUAAAGAUUAGAUUUAAUCUUGAUCAAUUGGCAAGGUUGUACGUUAAAGAGAUCAUUUCGAGGCAUGGAGUGCCAGUGUCAAUUGUAUCAGAUAGAGAUCCGUGAUUUAUGUCAAACUUCUAGAAGAGACUACAAGAAUGUAUGGGAACACAAUUGCGAAUGAGUACAACAUACCAUCCGUAAACCGACGGGCAAAGUGAACGAACAAUCCAAACGUUGGAAGAUAUGCUAAGAGCAUGCAUCAUGGAUUUCAAAGGAAGAUGGGAAGAACAUUUAUCGUUGGUAGAAUUUGCCUACAACAACAGUUACCACGCAAGCAUCUGCAUGCCAACUUACAAGGCAUUAUACGACAGAAAGUGCAGAACUCCACUGUGUUGGGAUGAAGUUGGUGAACGCCAACUGUUAGGACCAGAACUGGUACAACAAACUGCUGAGGUUGUCAAACUCAUCAGGACAAGAUUGGUAGCAGCCCAAGACAGACAAAAAAAGUAUGCCGAUCAACACAGGCAGAAUCGCGAAUUUGAAGUAGGAAAUUGUGUUUUCCUAAAAGUUUCUCCUUGGAAGGGGAAAAUUCGUUUUGGCAAGAAAGAAAAGCUCAGUAAACCCGAUUACAAGCACAUGAUCGAGUACGAACCAUUUCAGUUCAGUAAAGAUUUUUCUUAUGAAGAGAUUCCUAUCCAGAUAGUCGACAUGAAAGAACAAGUGCUCGAAAAAAAAAGUGAUACCUUCUGUGAAGGUGAUAUGGAGAAACCAUAAUGUCGAAGAGCCAACGUGGGAACUCGAAGUUGAAAUGAUGAAAAAUUACCCUAAGUUAUUUGUUUAAUCUAUGUCUUCGAUUCUGGGGACAGAAUCUUCGUAAGUAGGGAAGAAUGUGACGAUUUGAUUGUUUGAAUUGUGAUUCUGAGAACAAAAUCAUUUUAAGGAGGGAAUGAUGUAACAAUCCAAAAUUUUAAUUAUAAUAUUAAAUAUUUAUUGAAUUAUAUAAAUAUUUAAUGGAUGUGUUUAUCAUUGAAUAAAUAUUUGUUUAAUUGAUUUGAUUUUAUUUGGUUAAUUAUUUGUUAAAUAAAUAAUUUAUGAAUUAAGGAAAUUAUUAUUAUAUUGAUAUUUCAAUUUAAUGGUUGAUUAAUUGUAUUGAGUUAUGUGAUUAAAUGAUUUAUUUAAUUAAUUGUUAUUUGAAUUAAUUAAAUUAAAUAUGAAAGCUUGAUAAAAUAAAGUGUGACAAAUAACUAUAUUAUAAGGAGUUAUGAAAAUAAAUUAAAGUAGUUUAAUUUAGUUUUAUCCAAACAAGGUUCAAGGAUAUUAAGUGUUUAAUUUUUAAAUAGUUUUUGCCAAACAAUGCCCUAUGGCUUUUGGAAUUCUUUUAAUUUUAAAUUAUAUAAAUAAAUAAAAUAAUAAAUAUAAUAUAAUUAUAAUAUAUAUACGUUAGUUUUGUAAUUGAUUAAAGGGCGUAUUAAGAUUAUCAGUUUUAUUUCAUUCUAGUUGUUAAGACUAAGAGAAUUACAGAGAGAAUUGAGAGAAUUUGAGAGUGAAACCUAAGAAAAUUGUCUGCAAUUGCAAGGUUGUGCAAGCUAACUUGAAGGUAUGUUCACAACUUUGAUAUUAUAUGUGUUUAUGAGUAUCACGGCAAAGUUUUGUUAUGCUUUGUGAAUUCUAUUUCUUCCGAAUUGUUAUUAUGUAACUAAGUUAUGGUGGUUAUAUGUGAUAUAAUGCUAGAGUUUAUGUUUAAAUAAGAAAUUUGUAUGCUAAAUUCGUUGAUAGUAGGAAGAAAAUAAUGUCAGUAUAUGUAUUUUCAUAUGGUUCAUGAAAAGUAUCAAUUGUAGUUCCCAAUUAGUAUGUGAAAUUGUAAAUUGAAGCUUGAUUAUGUUAGUUCAUUAAGAAACGAGCACAACGUAAUUUGAAUGAAGUGAUUUGGCCAAGUAUUGAAGUCACAGUGUUGAUUUUUGGGAUGAAUAUCAAAAAUGGAGUUUUAUAUGAAAAACAUGGAAUUUGAUAAAUUAAACUAGCUUAAGUUGUUGUUAAAUUAUUCUAUAUUGAUAUAUAUGUGAGGAAACAUGUUUGUGAUAGUUCUAUACCAUUUGUACGUGUUGUUAUCACUAUUUGGUGGGUGAAAUUCGUGUUAGUUGGCUUAUGAAUAGUGUCGUAACCAUAUUCUGGAAAACUGGAAUCUGUGCGUAGCGCGGCCGCGCGCAGUAAACCAGUAUAAAACAGGCACGGCCGCGCCAGUGCCCUGUCUCAAAUAGUGUAGUCUACUAAUUCUGCAGACUUUGGUCGUUCAAUGUAACUUAACUUAAUGUUAGGUUAAUUUGAGAACCAUGUAAUAACAAGGUUAAACAAAUUUAUGUUAUGUAGAUUGUAAAUUCAAAGUUGUAAAUAUGAUUUAUAAGUCAUGAACGUGUUGUGUUAUAACUUAGCUUAUACAAUGAAGGUUAGUUUAGUGUUAUGAUGUUAACACUUGGGAAUUCUGAAAUGUAAAUGGUAGCAAAAGACUUGUGCUAAAAUAACAAGUUUAGCUAGUAAUACAUUUUAUAUAAAAAAGUGAAUACUAAUAUGUCUAAUAGAUGUUGUGGUUUUAAUAUUGUGUAUAAGUGAACGUGAGUUUUAAUAUUUUAGCUUACGCUCGAGGCAAGUUUUCUAACUCUACAUUUUCGUUGAGUUAGUUCUAUUAUUACAUUGUGUAACCUAUCUUUUUAAAUUGAGCAAGUUUCUUGUAUCUAGUUAUUUACGAUGAUGCAAGUUCCAAAAUCUCAUCUAUUACAUUGAGCAUGUUUUAAUUCUAAAUUAUUAGAAUUCUAAUCAUUGUUACUUACUCUAACUUGUUUAUAGUUAAACAAGUUUCUUUAGUUUAUUCUUUUAUAAUAAAUGUUUCUUGAACCUUAGAUCCUUGUGUUGAAUGGUUCAAUCACUUUGUAUAUCUUAUUACCAUGUGGAGUAAGCAUUGUUUCUAGCUUGCUAUCAACUAAUGUAUGUUUGGUAACUAAAAUUAUAAUUUGACAAGAUUAUAGACCUAGCUUAUUAUUGUUCAAGCCAAGGUUUAUCAUUUCUUUAUUUUGAUCAAUACUUAUGCUCUCUAGUUAUUUCAAGCAUGAGUCUAUAAUAUAGUCAGUUCACCUAUGAUUCUCAAAUGUUCUAAGUUAUGUUGUUAUUGAACAACUAUUGUGUUAUCAAGCAUUGUUGAUUCAACUAGUUCCCUAGUUGAUGAUCGUUAAAACUUCAAAUUACCCUUGAAAGCUUAUCCAAACCAAACUUACUUUGGUGCGGACUUGUACUCUAAAUACUGAGAUGAACAACCCUAUUUUUAGGGGUUUACGCUUAGCGUUGAAAUGUUUGUGCACAAUAUAUUGUACGAAGGAUUGAUCCCCCUAAGUACGUGGAGUCCUUAUAGUCUUCUGACUGUUAAAGUUAAGGUUGAAAGAUUACUUAUAACUGUGGACAAGGUUCGUGGUCAUUAGACCCUCAGUAGUAUAUUUCAGAAUGUUAAUAGAACAUAUCAUUCAGUUCUAUUGAGCCUAUUAUUUGGCGAAUGUUGAAAAGUUUAUUCAUUCUUAUUUCUAGUGAGCUUUGUUUGCUCACUCUUGCUUAUAUAACUAUUACAGCUAAGGAUGAGAAGGUAGAUGUACCUAGCACCAGUAAGGGCAAGGGGAAGAUGAACAAGUUUUGAAGACUUGUAAUAUGUUGACAGUGUUUAUCAGACUUUAAUUUGAUUAUUGUAAUGAACUUAUUUAAAUUCCGCAUUUGAAUGAAUGUAAUUAAAAGUUAGAUAACCUGGGAGAUAAUGUUUUUAUUAAUGUAAUCCUGUAUGGACAGGUUUUAUUAUUCUUUUUUAUUAUAAUUGUGUAGUUAGAUAUGAAUGUUUUUAUUAAGUGAACACCAAAUCUUGCGGUAAUGAAGUACCGGGAUUUUGGGGUGUCACAAGUUGGUAUCAAAGCUUUAGGUUAUGAACCUUAGGUGGGGAAAAGAAAGUAACCUUUGAAAAGAUAAUGGUAAUUAACUCUUAUCAAGUUUUAAGGAAGAAGUAAUAAAACACUUAUGUACUUAUGUGUUUAUAACUUAUGCGCUCGUGAGUGUCGAGUGGUAAUGAUUAAUAAUUAAAACUUAAAAUUUUGUUGUCAGGAUGACUAAUGUCGGAUAAUCCAGUCAGGCUUGGGAGGAGGGACCUCAGAUGCCUAUAGAGGAGGAGGGACCUCAGAAGGUAGAUGUACCUAGCACCAGUAAGGUCAAGGGGAAGAUGAACAAAUUUUGAAGACUUGUAAUAUGUUGACAGUGUUGAUCAGACUUUAACUUGAUUAUUGUAAUGAACUUAUUUAAAUUCCGCAUUUGAAUGAUUGUAAUUAAAGGUUAGAUAACCUGGGAGAUAAUGUUUUUAUUAAUGUAAUCCUAUAUGGGCAGGUUUUAUUAUUCAAUUUUAUUAUGAUUGGCUAGUUAGAUAUGAAUGUUUUGAUUUACUGAACACCAAAUCUUGCGGUAAUGAAGUACCGGGAUUUGGGGGUGUCACAGAACAUCCAAUACCUACAAUUAAGAGAGACAAUAUGGAUUAGAAUAGCACUUGGAUUGGUAAGAGAACUUAAUAAGCAAAUUAAUUCCUAUCGACUAAAUAAACUAGUAAAGCAUAUAAAUAUAAAAAUUCAUGGGUUGCCUCCCAGUUAACGCUUGAUUUAUAGUCCUUCAGCCAGACUUUUCUUGGUCAACGCUAUCCAAUUCUUCUUCGAUAGUUGAGGAACCCUCCAUCCAUCAGUAACAAAUUAUCCUUUUGGAGGUUCCCACAGGCGAUGGCCAAUGCAUCAAAGUCACCUAGCAUGCUCUGAUUUGGUAUGAUCUCAAUCAAGAACGUCCCACAGCUAGGUGUUUUCUCCAUUGUGUAUGUGAUCACUUUGGGGCAUGGAAACUUGUCACACACAAUGGGUGUAACACCCCCUUUCCGAAAUAGAAAGAGAGGUUACUCAAAAUAUAACAAAACUGAUGAAUUUAAUAGCAAGGCUCUAAUCCACAAAAGAAUAGUCUUAAACUAAUUAAAUGUCUUAAGACAAACUAUAAUAAAUGCCACAUUGGCACAAACCACAAUCUGAAAUAACUAUUACAACUCCAAAUAAAUCAAUGUAUCAUAGCCUAACGAAAUAUAUCAAAACUAUUGGAUAGAAGGGAGCUCUCGUCACACUUGCCCUUGAUUCCCCUGAUUACCUGCCGGAAGAAAAACACAGCAUGAGCUAAAUGCCCAGUACAGAUAUAGAAUACAAUUAAUGAAGCGAAAUAACUAACUCAAUUAAAUGAAAUAAAAUGAAACUAACUGAAAUGAAACGAACCAAACUAACACAACGAAAUAAUAGGCUGAAUCAAAUGGCUGGGUGUUAUUUCAUACCGAGCUCAGAAAUAUACCUUGCCACACAGACAAGUCAAAAUAAUUUCACACAGGCAAGUCAAAUAAUGCCACACAGGAAAGUCACAUACAUUGGACCGCGAAUCCAAUGCAUGUAAAAUCGGAAGGUGUGUUUGGCACAAACAUCAACAAUCCGCAAAAACAAAUCAGAACAGAAAACUAGGGUCGACCCAUACGCCUCCCACAAUAAAACACCAAAUGGCCAACUCCCACCGGAGUACACAAAACGGAGACGCCGUGUACUAAUCGCACUGCCACGGAAGGUGUCAUGUCUCGGUGCCAAGAGGACAUGCAUGUGGCACCCCCACAGGUGAUUAUAGCUCUGGUAUACCCUACGGUAUUCUAACAAAAUAUAAAGUCACAACACAUGUGACACAACAAAGGGGUUCUAACAUGUACAUGUUAAACUGAAACGAAAUAUCAACACAAAGUCUCCAAAUAUAUUAACAUGUACUUUCUACAAAGAUCGAAAUAAAUAUAAACCAUGACAAACUAGACCAAAGAGUACAAAUACUAGUUUCAAAUACUAAUGCCAAAAUGAAAUAUUCUCACGAAUUUAAGAAGGAACAAUUAUGAGAGGCAAAACUAAAUUUUGAAAUGAAUAAUGAAACGAACAAAUUAAAAACAAAAGUGUCUCGCUGAAAGAGUAUGGAAUUCGUACCUGAAUUAAACAACGUAAUACCCAAAAAUUUAAAUAAGAUUACGCUUGUCUCCUUUAAUCUGAUCUAAUAAAAUAAAAUAAAUUUUUAUUAUAAAUUUAUCCAUUAACAACAUAAUAUUGUUAAAUUUAUUACCAAGUAAAUUUUAUAAUUUUAUCAAUAAGAUUAAUUAGUUUAAACUAAUAUACAUAACUUUCAAUUCGAUUAACUAAUUCGGUUCGUAAGGUUCAUAAAUCAAAUACAUAUUAAAAUAAAAUAUUUAUAUAUAUAUUAUAACUUGUCCUGCAACCUGCAAUCAAACUUCAUAUAUAUAAUCCUUAUUAAUAAGUACAAAAGUACAAUAGUUUAUAUAUAUAUAUACAUCUGGAAAACUGUCAAACUGACAUGAGUUCAUAUAAUAUAUGCAUAUAUAUAUAUAUAUAUAUAUAUAUUGUACUAUAUAUAUACACCAACAUUUUACUUCAACAUGUUACAUUUUUUUUAAGAGACUUAUUCAGGAAUUCUAUUAUAUAUAUAUAUAGACUAAAUGUUUAAGGGAAGAGAGAAGUAUUGAAGACUUCUUCUUCAUCUUUAACUAAGAAGAUCGAAGCUGAAAGCUUUGUCUUCGGCUAACUCUAGAGAGAAGGGAGAGCGGACCUCGGAAGAGCUUUCUAGAGAGAGAAGCUCUGAGGCUACAUUGAAUUAAGCCUGAAGAAACUCUAACACUUGAGUUUCUUUAAAUAGAAAACUGAAAAGUAAAUUACUAUUUGAUUCACGCAGGAAUCACUAUUACAUUAACUGAAGUAAAAGUAAUUUACUAAAGUAAAAGUAAAACGUAAGAAACAUUUUACAUUUACUUUUACAUUGGUAAAUGUAAGAAACAUUUAACUAAAGUUAAAAAAAUUUAACUUAAGUAAAAGCAAAAGUUAUUCUUUUACUUUUACUUUUACAUUUACUCAAGUAAAAGACUUUUGCUUUACGGAAAGCAAAAGCUGAGAUGAUGGCUGGGGCCAUCACCUGUCAGUUGACUGAAGAUGCCUCUGGCGUUUUCUUCGUUUACUGGUCCGUCUCCUGUAGGUGCCUGAAGGUGCUGUUGAUCAUCUUCUCAGAUGAGUCACCAUCCCCAUACAUUUCCACCUAAAAAUAUUUAUCCAGGAAAUAACCCUUUCACCCCAAAAAAUUUGGUUUAUAAAGAAGGAGCAAAAAAAAUUUCUACCGAAAAUUGGUCAAAAUCUUCAAAAUUUCUUAGAUUUUGUAAAAAAAUUUUGUUUAAAAACAAAUCAGAUGAAAUCUGAAACAAAGGAUCACUUAAUUGGUCCUGAUCUAUUAGUGAAAUCGAUCUAAACAGAAGACUUCUUUGUUAACUAUUUAAACAAAAAAAAAAUUUCUUGAAGGUCCACUUAGACUCUAGCCUUACUUGCCUUGAACACAUACCCAUAGAUCUAAAGAUUCCCUUUAGCCUUACACUGCUCCCAAUUGAGACUUACAAACGGCAUUAUUCGGGACUUAAGGCGAUCUUGGGUGGUUUACGGCAAAGGUCGGGCGAUUAAAAGCGGAGCAAGAAAAAUAAAAGUUUGAAAAAACAUUUAAGUAAACAAAUCAAACUGUUUAUUCUUUGAAAGUGCCGAACAGAAUCAAGAACUAACCGUGUGGCUCUGAUACCAUAUAAUAGUGGGAUAAGUUUUUAAAAGAAAAACUUUAACAGAAGAAAGAAAAGAUUAAGAAGAUGACCGGGGAAUCGGUAAAGUAAUCUCUUUCUUUUAUUUAUAAACAUUUGAGGAAGGGAUUACAUUAAUUCCUAGACUAAAUGUUUAAGGGAAGAGAGAAGUAUUGAAGACUUCUUCUUCAUCUUUAACUAAGAAGAUCGAAGCUGAAGCUUCGUCUUCGGCUAACUCUAGAGAGAAGGGAGAGCGGACCUCGGAAGAGCUUUCUAGAGAGAGAAACUAUGAGGCUACAUUGAAUUAAGCGGGAUAAGUUUUUAAAAGAAAAACUUUAACAGAAGAAAGAAAAGAUUAAGAAGAUGACCGGUGAAUCGGUAAAGUAAUCUCUUUUUUUUAUUUAUAAACAUUUGAGGAAGGGAUUACAUUAAUUCCUAGACUAAAUGAUUAAGAGGAAAGAUCGAAGUAUUAAGGACUUCGUCUUCAUCUUCUAACUAAGAAGAUCGAAGCUGAAAGCUUCGUCUCCGGCUAACUAAGAGAGAAGGGAGAGGACCUCGGAAGAGCUUUCUAGAGAGAGAAGCUCUGAGGCUACAUUGAAUUAAGCCUAAACAACUCUAAACACUUGAGUUGUUUAAAUAGAAAACUGAAAAGUAAAUUACUAUUUGAUUCACGCAGGAAUCACUAUUACAUUAACUGAAUUAAAAGUAAUUUACUUAUGUAAAAGUAAAACGUAAGAAACAUUUAACUAAGUUAAAAACAUUUAACUUGAGUAAAAGCAAAAGUUUUAUUCUUUUACUUUUACUUUUACAUUUUUACUAAAGUAAAAGACUUUUGCUUUAUUGAAAGCAAAAGCUGAGAUGAUGGUGUGGGCCAUCACUUGUCGGUGACUGAAGAUGCCUCUGGCGUCUUCUUCGUUGACUGGUCCGUCUCUUGUAGGUGCCGGAAGGUGUUGUUGAUCAUCUUCUCAUAUGAGUCACCAUCCCCAUUCAUUUCCACCUUAAAAUUUUUAUCUAGGAAAUAACCCUUUCACCCCCAAAAAUUUGGUUUAUAAAGAAGGAGGAAAAAAAAUUUCUACUAAAAAUUGGUCAAAAUCUUCAAAAUUUCUUAUAUUUUGGAAAAUUUUUUGUUUAAAAACAAAUCAGAUGAAAUCUGAAACAAAGAAUCACUCAAUUGGUCCUGAUCUAUCAAUGAAAUCGAUCUAAAUAGAAGACUUCUUUCUUAACUGUUUAAACAAAAAUUCUUUUUCUUGAAGGUCCACUUAGACUCUAGCCUUACUUGCCUUGAACACAUACCCGUAGAUCUAAAGAUUCCUUUUAGCCUUACACUGCUCCCAAUUGAGUCUUACAAACGGCAUUCAUCGGGACUUAAGGCGAUCUUGGGUGGUUUACGGCGAAGGUCGGGCGAUUAAAAGCGGAGCAAGAAAAAUAAAAGUUUGAAGAAACAUUUAAGUAAACAAAUCAAACUGUUUUCAGUCGAAACCACCGAUAGCAUCAAGAACCAACCAUGUGUCUCUGAUACCAUAUAACAGCGGGUAAGUUUUUAUUCAGAAAACUUAAACAGAAAAAGAAAAGAUUAAGAAGAUGACCGGUGAAUCGGUAAAGUAAUCUCUUUCUUUUAUUUAUAAACAUUUGAGGAAGGGAUUACAUUAAUUCCUAGACUAAAUGUUUAAGAGGGAAGAUCAAAGUAUUAAGGACUUCGUCUUCAUCUUCUAACUAAGAAGAUCGAAGCUGAAAGCUUCAUCUCCGGCUAACUAAGAGAGAAAAGAGAGGACCUCGGAAAAGCUUUCUAGAGAGAGAAGCUCUGAGGCUACAUAAGGUGGAAAUGUAUGGGGAUUGGUGACUCAUCUGAGAAGAUGAUCAACAGCACCUUCAGGCACCUAUAGGAGACGGACCAGUAAACGAAGAAAAUGCCAGAGGCAUCCUCAGUCAACCGACAGGUAAUGGCCCCAGCCAUCAUCUCAGCUUUUGCUUUCCGUAAAGCAAAAGUCUUUUACUUUAGUAAAUGUAAAAGUAAAAGUAAAAGAAUAACUUUUGCUUUUACUUAAGUUAAAUGUUUUUAACUUUAGUUAAAUGUUUCUUACAUUUACCAAUGUAAAAUGUUUCUUAUGUUUUACUCUUACUUUAAUAAAUUACUUUUACUUCAGUUAAUGUAAUAGUGAUUCCUGCGUAAAUCAAAUAGUAAUUUACUUUCAGUUUUUUAUUUCAAGAAACUCAAGUGUUAGAGUUUCUUCAGGCUUAAUUCAAUGUAGCCUCAGAGCUUCUAUCUCUAGAAAGCUCUUCCGAGGUCCUCUCUCCUUUCUCUCUAGAGUUAGCUAGAGACGAAGCUUUCAGCUUCGAUCUUCUUAAUUAGAAGAUGAAGACGAAGUCCUUAAUACUUCGAUCUUCCCUCUUAAACAUUUAGUCUAGGAAUUAAUGUAAUCCCUUCCCAAAUAUUUAUAAAUAAAAGAAAGAGAUUACUUUACCGAUUCACCGGUCAUCUUCUUAAUCUUUUCUUUCUUCUGUUAAAGUUUUUCUUUUAAAAACUUAUCCCGCUGUUAUAUGGUAUCAGAGCCACACGGUUGGUUCUUGAUGCUAUCGGUGGUUUCGAUUAAAAACAGUUUAAUUUGUUUACUUAAAUGUUUCUUCAAACUUUUAUUUUUCUUGCUCCGCUUUUAAUCGCCCGACCAUCACCGUGAACCACCAAAGAUCGCCUUAAGUCCCGAAUUAUGCCAUUUGUAAGUCUCAAUUGGGAGCAGUGUAAGGCUAAAGGGAAUCUUUAGAUCUAUGGGUAUGUGAUCAAGGCAAGUAAGGUUUGAGUCUAAGUGGACCUUCAAGAGAAAGAAUUUUUGUUUAAACAGUUAACAAAUAGGUCUUCUGUUUAGAUCGAUUUCACUGAUAGAUCAGGACCAAUCGAGUGAUCCUUUGUUUUAGAUUUCAGUUUGAUUUGUUUUUAAACAAAUUUUUUUUUACAAAAUCUAAGAAAUUUUGAAGAUUUUGACCAAUUUUCAGUAGAAUUUUUUUUUUCCUCCUUCUUUAUAAACCAAAUUUUUGGGGGUGAAAGGGUUAUUUCCUGGAUAAAAAAUUUAAGGUGGAAAUGUAUGGGGAUGGUGACUCAUCUGAGAAGAUGAUCAACAUCACCUUCCGGCAUCCACAGGAGAUGGACCAGUCAACGAAGAAGACGCUAGAGGCAUCUUCAAGUCACAGACAGGUGAUGGCCCAUCCAUUAUCUCAGCUUUUGCUUUCCGUAAAGCAAAAGUCUUGUACUUUAGUAAAUGUAAAAGUAAAAGUAAAAGAAUAACUUUUGCUUUUACUUAAGUUAAAUAUUUUUAACUUUAGUUAAAUGUUUUUUUACAUUUACCAAUGUAAAAGUAAAUGUAAAAUGUUUCUUACGUUUUACUUUUACUUUAGUAAAUUACUUUUACUUCAGUUAAUGUAAUAGUGAUUCCUGCGUGAAUCAAAUAGUAAUUUACUUUUCAGUUUUCUAUUUAAAGAAACUCAAGUGUUAGAGUUUCUUUAGGCUUAAUUCAAUGUAGCCUCAGAGCUUCUCUCUUUAGAAAGCUCUUCCGAGGUCCUCUCCCUUCUCUCUUAGUUAGCCGGAGACGAAGCAUUCAGCUUCGAUCUUCUUAGUUAGAAGAUGAAGACGAAGUCCUUAAUACUUCGAUCUUCCCUCUUAAACAUUUAGUCUAGGAAUUAAUGUAAUCCCUUCCCAAAUGUUUAUAAAUAAAAAAAAAAGAGAUUACUUUACCGAUUCACCGGUCAUCUUCUUAAUCUUUUCUCUCUUCUGUUAAAGUUUUUCUUUUAAAAACUUAUCCCGCUAUUAUAUGGUAUCAGAGCCACACGGUUGGUUCUUGAUGCUAUCGGUGGUUAAAAAUAGUUUGAUUUGUUUACUUAAAUGUUUCUUCAAACAUUUAUUUUUCUUGCUCCGCUUUUAAUCGCCCGACCUUCGCCGUGAACCACCCAAGAUCGCCUUAAGUCCCGAAUUAUGCCGUUUGUAAGUCUCAAUUGGGAGCCGUGUAAGGCUAAAGGGAAUCUUUAGAUCUACGGGUAUGUGAUCAAGGCAAGUAAGGUUUGAGUCUAAGUGGACCUUCAAGAAAAAGAAUUUUUUUUAAAACAGUUAACAAAUAUGUCUUCUAUUUAGAUCAAUUUAACUGAUAGAUCAGGACCAAUCGAGUGAUCCUUUGUUUCAGAUUUCAUCUUAUUUGUUUUUAAACAAAUUUAUUUUACAAAAUCUAAGAAAUUUUGAAGAUUUUGACCAAUUUUUCGGUAUAAAAUUUUUUCCUCCUUUAUAAACCAAAUUUUUGGGGGUGAAAGGUUUAUUUUCUGGAUAAAAAUUUUAAGGUGGAAAUGUAUGGGGAUGGUGACUCAUCUGAGAAGAUGAUCAACAACACCUUCCAGCACCAACAUGGAUGGACCAGUCAACCAAGAAGAUGCUAGAGGAGUCUUCAGUCACUGACAGGUGAUGGCCCACGCCAUCAUCUCUUUUACUUUAGUAAAUGUAAAAGUAAAAAUAAAAGAAUAUAACUUUUGCUUUUACUCAAGUUAAAUAUUUUUAACUUUAGUUAAAUGUUUCUUACAUUUACCCAUGUAAAAGUAAAUGUAAAAUGUUUCUUACGUUUUACUUUUACUUUAGUAAAUUACUUUUACUUCAGUUAAUGUAAUAGUGAUUCCUGUGUGAAUCAAAUAGUAAUUUACUUUUCAGUUUUCUAUUUAAACAACUCAAGUGUUUAGAGUUGUUUAGGCUUAAUUCAAUGUAGCCUCAGAGCUUCUCUCUCUAGAACGCUCUUCUGAGGUCCUCUCCCUUCUCUUUUAGUUAGUCGGAGACGAAGCUUUUAGCUUCGAUCUUCUUAGUUAGAAGAUGAAGAUGAAGUCCUUAAUACUUCGAUCUUCCCUCUUAAACAUUUAGUCUAGGAAUUAAUGUAAUCCCUUCCCAAAUGUUUAUAAAUAAAAGAAAGAGAUUACAUUACCGAUUCACUGGUCAUCUUCUUAAUCUUUUCUUUCUUUUGUUAAAGUUUUCCUUUUAAAAACUUAUCCCGCUGUUAUACGGUAUCAGAGCCAAGUUGUUUGUUGUUAGUAACUGUUUAAGUUCCGAUCUCUUUAAUCAAACUUCUCUUUUCUUUUUCAAAAUCUUCUUCUUCCUCAGUGUAAUCAAGAUAAAAAUAAUAAUAAGAGUAAUAAUCAAGAAACUUAUUACAAUAAACCUAAGUCAUCUAAGAAGAAGUCGUAUAAAAAAUCAAAGAAAUAUGAUAAAAGUAAAAUUGUCUGUCACAAUUGUGGGCAGAAAGGACACUAUAAAAUUGAAUGUAGAGUUAAACAAAAAUUAACUUAAUUAAAUAUUUCAACUGAAGAUACAGAACAGUUAUUAGAAUUAAUGAGAAUUGAAAAUAACAGUAGCAGUAAUGAAGAAGCUUCUGAUAUUCCAGAAUCUUCUAGUAAUAACGCAUCUAACGAUGAAUCUGAUAGUGAAAAUGAAGUCACCAUAUGUAUAGAAAAUUGCAAUAAAAACUGCUGCAGAAGAAUUAAUGUAAUUACAAAAGAAGAAGAAGAAAGUUCUUUAUUAAUAGAUUUAAUCAGUAAAAUUACAGACCCUGAAUUAAAAACUCAGUACUUGAAACAAUUAAAAGAUUUGUUAACUAAAGAUAAGAAAGUCACUGAUAAGGUUCUUAGAGCCAAAGAAAAACCUAUUUUCAGUCUCAAUAAAACUCUUGAAAGAUUUAAGUCUCCGGUAAAAGAAAUUACCCUCCCUGAGUUAAAUCAAGAAGUUAAUAAACUUAAGAAAGAAAUUUCUAACUUAAAAUUAGAUGUUUCCAACUUAAGAAAAGAGAUUGAUAAUAAAAAAUCAGAUCUUCAAGUUCAUGAUUCCUCUUCUAGUGAUGAAAGUCACGAUGAACUAGAAUCAUCAGGUGCUAAAGAUUCUGAUCUCUUUAUUCAAGGUCUCUCCCUUAAAAGAAUUAAAGAUAUUACUAUUCAAAAAUGGUAUAUCUCUAUUAAUUUAGUUAUUGAUAAAACUUUCUCGGUACAGCUCCCUGCUUUGGUUGAUACUGGUGCAGACUUGAACUGUAUUUAAGAAGGUAUUAUCCCCACUAGAUAUUAUAAGAAAACUAGUGAAAAACUUAAUUCACCUAAUGGUAGUCAAAUGGAAAUAAAAUAUAAAUUACCUAAUGUGCAUAUUUGUCAAGACAGUAUGUGUUUUAAGACCUCGUUUGUCUUAGUUCGCAAUCUUACUGACAAAAUUAUUUUAGGAUUACCAUUUAUAUAUUUAUUAUACCCAUUUACUACUAGUAAUAAAGGUUUAAGUUGUGAACAUUUAGGAAAGAAAAUUAUAUUUAAAUUCCUAAUUAAACAAAAAGAUAGAGAUUUAAAAUUUAUUCAAAAAGAAUCAAUUUCUAAAUCAUUGAAUCUAUUAAAUUAUAAAGUAACCCAUCUAAGUUUCCUCAAAGAAGAAGUUAGGUAUCAACAAGUUGAAGACCAACUUAAGAGUAACAAAAUUCAAGAAAAAAUAAAAGAAUUAUUGAUUCUUACGUAAGAAGGCACUACUCAAUAAUUGUUACAGUAAUUACUGUUCAAUAUUUUAUUUUAUUGAUUCAAUAAUUGUUACGUUGAUAUUUUAUAUUAUUGUUGUUUCAAUAAUUGUCACUACACAGUAUUUUCCAUUAUCAGAUCAAUAAUUCAUAUUAUUUGAAUAAUAUUAUUAGAUAACAUUAUUGGCAAUGUCUAGAAAGUUCUGUCAAGGAGAGGUUUGGUCACCUAAUUGCGCGCCAGUAAGGAGAAAUCCUUAUUGGAAAGCCCCCUCUUUCCUGGGAACGGCCUGGUUGUCAUAAUUGUGAUUCUGUAAUAUUAUUUAUGAAUAAUUAAUUAUUGAUUUAUAUGAUAAGGGAAUAUUUAUUUUAUGUGGAUAUAAAUGAAGGAAUUUUGCAUGAAAUAAUUGUUGAAAGUUUGGCAUAUUUUCUGUGAAAUUAUAAUUAUUUCUCCGAUAAAAUAUUCAUUCAUAUAUAAUAUUAUAAUAAUUGUUUAAUAAUAAUAUUAUUAUAAUAUAUACGCAUGUGGUUAAUAUUUGAAUACUUUGUUGUAACAUUGAAAUGGUGGGUGGAAGAUGUUAUCUGCAAAAUUUAUUCCAAAUGGUGGACCUUACCAAUUGUGAUUAAUUGCUAUGUUAAGCAUUGAAAAGUGAGAAGCUUGGCUUUGAUCUCCUUGUUUUUCAAAACCGGGUAUUACAUUUCUUCCUUUUCAAAACCAUGUACUGAUUUCAUUUGUUUCUCCUGCAAACUCAUUAAAUAUUUUCUAUGUCAUGGGCCCUCAACCAAUAAGAGUUAGGAUGUUUGGAAAUGAAUUGUCUACAAAGUCAUUAUGUGGCCCCAACCAUUGAAAUAAGAGAAGGUUAGGCAAAAGGUUAGGAAGGAAAGAAAUUAAGCAAUUGCCUUCGUCCGAAUUUUAGUAUAAAUAGAGGGGUAACCCUCCUUCCUCAUCACACCAUUCUCAAAUUCAGAAAUUAGUAUUGUGAGUAUUUUUCUUAAGUAUAAGAAUAUUUUAAGCGUAGUUUUCUGUAUGAUUUUUCUCAGAAUAAUAUCCGAUAUUCCAGUCAAAUCCAGUUCCUACCAAGGUAAAUGAUAUUAUUUUAUUUCAAUACUCGUGAGAAAUAUUAUUUUCUUUCAUACUCCAUAGUAUGGAAGGGAUAUUAUUUAAUUUCAUAUUCCUAAAAUUGAACUUACUAUGGUAAGUAUUGCUUCUAUAAUUCCUUAAAUGAUUAGAAAUUUCGUUUCAUCUAAUAUCAUUUCAUAAGAUUAUUAGUUUAAACUUUUUAUCAAAUUUGGAACUUUUUAUGACUGGGUAUUGUUCAUGAGUACUGUUCACGGUUACUGUUCACGAGUACUGUUCACGGUUACUGUUCACGAGUACUGUUCACGGGUACUAUUCACAAAAGAAAAAAAAAUUAUUUUUUUUUCUCUUCCAAGUUAUCUGUUGUGACCCUUAUUCUUGAAAUUUAAUCCAUGUUUUGAUCAUAUUAUUUUUAUUAUCAUAUAUAACAUUUUUAUAAUCUUAGUAAUGAAAUUUCUCUUUGACUUAAGUGUAAAGAUGAGUAGAUUAUUGGUAUGAUCGUGACUAUAAGUUUUCUUUGGCCAGUAGUGCAAAGUUGAAUCAUUGACUGGUAUGAUCAUGACCAUUGAAUUUACAAUUGAAUAUUUUUAGCUUAAGUGCAAAGGUGAAUGGAUCAACAUGGUUAUAAUUAUUGUUUAUAUAAAUUCUGAAAUGAUUAUAUAUUUCUUUGAGAUAAUAAUAUAUUUGGCCUGUAGUGCAAAUAUGAACUGUUGAUGAAUAUAUUUGGCAUGUAGUGCAAAUAUGAACUGUUGAGGAAUAUCUUUGGCCUGUAGUACAAAGAUGAAUUAUUGAUGAAUAUCUUUGGCCGUAGUGCAAAGAUGACAUGUUGUUGAAUAUCUUUGGCCAGUAGUACAAAGAUAAACAGGCGUUGAGAUGAACAUGAACAACUAGUGAUACAAAUGAAAAUCUUUGGCCGUAGUGCAAAGAUGAAGUUAUUAGUAUGAUUAUGAACANNNNNNNNNNNNNNNNNNNNNNNNNNNNNNNNNNNNNNNNNNNNNNNNNNNNNNNNNNNNNNNNNNNNNNNNNNNNNNNNNNNNNNNNNNNNNNNNNNNNAUCUACCAUAUGUUCUAAAUCUCUGAUUUAUUACUGAUGAAGGCUAUUGAUAAUUUAAUUAUCUUUAGUCAUGAUAUUCUUUACUGGGCUAGUUGUGCUCACCCUUUUGCUUCACAAUUCCUUUUCAGGUAAUAAGAGUGUAGCUGGGUCGAGCGAGGGUAACGAGGAAAUAGAACGGUGGUCUCUAGCUGUGGAGGUUCUCCCUAAGCAGUGUAGAAAAGUGUUGUAUACAUCAUUUAGUAGUUAUAUUUGUUGAAUCAACAUAGGGUGAGGCGAACCCAACGUUGGAAGGGUGUUUUGCCACUAUCAUACAAGAUGUCUAAUGAUAUACAACCUCGUGUCAUUAUAAGAUAGGGUUGCGCUCAUCCACUUGCUGAGUAUAUUUACGACCACUUCCUAUAUAAUCUUGGUGUUUGUUUGGAGUAUAAUUCACUAUUAGAGACAGUGGAGAUAAUGAUAUGUCAAGUAAAGACUCACCAUUGGGAAGAAUAUGAUAGUAAUCUUCUCGUUUUUCUUUGGGGUCUAUUGGGUCAACCAAGGAUAAUUUUGUGGCCAUAUGAUAUCUAUCAUAACCUAGACGCAUGACCUCCCAUGUACAAAGGUUUCCUUGAGCACUUCCCAAAGAUUCUAAUUUCUAAAACAGUUUUUGACUAUACCUUUAUGUAAGGUGUCAUUAUGAGUUGUUGGGACAUGAGUCACAAUUGGUAUAUAUUUGUAUCCAAACUCACAGCAUAUGUGUUGUUGUAUUUUGCAGGAUAAUUGUUGUAAUAAAGUUGUAGUUAUUUUAUGUACCAUGUAUUUGGCGACUCAGAAUGGGUUGGAUGGAAUGGACAUAUUUUGGGGUUGUCAUAAGGAGUCUCUUCAUAAGACAAAUCUUUAUCGAAUUGCAAUGGUUCGUACUCGAUCACGUGCUUGUAAUUGGGUUUAUACGGUCGUAACACCGAAAUGUGAAAAACAUUAUGAAUGUUUUCCAAUUUUGGAGGUAGAGCUACCUCAUAAGUCACUUCCCCCACUCUUUGUAGCAUCCCCGAAUCCGGGUCCCAAAUCGCCACGGAUCCGGUAUACUAUUUCUAUCACUAUUGCGGAAGAUAUAAACAUAAAUUGUUUAUACAUUAAACUUUUACACAUCAUUCCCAAGGUCUACAACCUUAACUUAAUACAUACCCAGCCUCACUAAAACAGCCAUAACUCUCGCGUUUUAAAACAUUUUUGAGUGAUUCUUGAGCCCACACGAAGAUAACUUCUAGGGCUACAACUUUUGUCUCACGACAUUUUUCCAAAAUCAGAACACAACAGUCCAAAAAUUUACAUCAAGAAGGCUGUUCGGAAAUUGAGGAACAGUUUUGCUACGCACCUUCCGAACGCCAUAACUACCUCAUCCGGAGUCGGAAUUAGUCCGUUCCGGAGUCUAUGGAAAGNNNNNNNNNNNNNNNNNNNNNNNNNNNNNNNNNNNNNNNNNNNNNNNNNNNNNNNNNNNNNNNNNNNNNNNNNNNNNNNNNNNNNNNNNNNNNNNNNNNNNNNNNNNNNNNNNNNNNNNNNNNNNNNNNNNNNNNNNNNNNNNNNNNNNNNNNNNNNNNNNNNNNNNNNNNNNNNNNNNNNNNNNNNNNNNNNNNNNNNNNNNNNNNNNNNNNNNNNNNNNNNNNNNNNNNNNNNNNNNNNNNNNNNNNNNNNNNNNNNNNNNNNNNNNNNNNNNNNNNNNNNNNNNNNNNNNNNNNNNNNNNNNNNNNNNCCCCGAAACUGUCCAAUUUUUGUUAGAAAUACGGGACUGUUUUGGCUUAAAUAAUUAUUACACCAUGAAAACUCAAUAUUUUUGAGGGCUACCACUUGGGUUAACUACUACACACAUAUAUCUAACACUCCUUUUUGACGGAUCGCAAAAAGAAGUCAUAGAUUUAAAACGGUGAAAUUUCAAAGUAAAAAGAAAUUUUGGUUUUCAAAUCUAGAAAAAUUAUUUUUCUUUUCCUUUUGGUUUUCACCAAAUCAAAACCCAUCAUGGGUGGAUCCAUACAUGAAUCAAAGAAAAACAUAUAGAUUGUAGGGUUUUAAACACCCAAAUCAAAAACCCCUUUCAUCAAUUUCUAAAAAAAUUUAGAGAGAAAUUUAUACCUUUUGCUAUCUUCUUCUUCUACUUUAUCCAUGGAGAUCUCCUCUCCAUCACACACAUGGGGGCUGCCGCCCCUCUCCUCCAUCUUCCAUGGCUCUCCCGAUCUCUCUCUUUCUCUUCCUUCUUUUUCUUCUUUCUUUUCUCUUUCUCUUACUUAUUCUUCUUUCCUUCUCUCUUUCUUAUCUCUUCUCUCUAUUUUUUUUUAUCCGGCCAUAUGGCCUUAUCUAGACAAAUAUCAUCUUUCUUCUCUUUUUUUUUUUACCUUUUAAUUUGGACAAAUGGCCUCUUAUUAUCCCAAUUUUACUCUAUUUAAUUGAUUUAUUGAAUGCACAAAAUGUCCAUCAUCACUAAUUGGUUU